rnacentral:lncRNA from 1 species
AAGAAACAGCAACCGGACAUGGAGAUCAUCACGCGAGUAACAGGUCCGGAGAUUGGAUACGUGACGACGCCUAUCAUUCUCGUCCAGGCGGCGCUGCUCGUGCUGGAAAACCGCGAUAAACUCCCCAAAGGUGGCGUGUGGACUCCUGGUGUUGCGUUUGGAACCACGGACUACGAGCAGAGGCUGCAAAACAAUGGCUUGUCGUUUGACGUUAUUAGCAAGCAUUAGAUAAACCUUGGCCAUAAAACUUAGAUUUAUUUUGUGUUCAUAUUAAACAAUAUAAAGAUUUUACAUUGAUUUAUGUUUAACAAGGUGUGCAGCAAGCUAUUAUUAAUAACUUCAUUCAGCUCUUGACUUACUGUNNNNNNNNNNNNNNNNNNNNNNNNNNNNNNNNNNNNNNNNNNNNNNNNNNNNNNNNNNNNNNNNNNNNNNNNNNNNNNNNNNNNNNNNNNNNNNNNNNNNAUGGAUCUAAAAAUAUUCCACUUAAGAAGAACUCUGCUACUGUUUGAUAAUAAUGUUGGGUGUAGUGAAGACCAUCCCAAGAUAUGUAAGUACUGGGAUUUAGACAACUUGAUACACCAGGUGUUCCACAUAUUUGGAAAGGAGAAUAAUUAUAUGGUGCUCCAGUUCCGCAGCAAGCAUCUUGUAUAUUCGUAAAACCUGCUUUGAAGUUUAAGUAAAUAGCAUAUAUCAGCAUCAGACUUACCGUAAGUUGAACUAUUUUGAAGGAUCUUAUAGUAAGGGUUAUACAUAUCUGCAAUGUAGAAUUUGGCAUCACUGUAUCGAUUUCGUAGAGAAACCACAGCUUCCACAAGUUUUGAGUUGAAAUAUUGAGAAAUAUUAUUAAACGCAAUAAGGCACCGAUAAGAAUCAUAUGCUGUCGGAUUUGGAGAUGCAAAAAUAGUCUUAAUUGAUGGAGUGCAGCCCAAUGGUGUUAUUGUGAACACUAAAAAUUUUCUACCACCUUCGUUAUAAAGUAACUAGCAAAACAACAGCACUAAGGUUUUGGUUAUUUGAAAUCAAAAUAACCUCACUUGUAAAGAAGAUUUGAUAGCUGCAACUGCUUGUGGUAUAGUAAUGUUUGCAAUAUAUGAUAGAGAUUUAUUGUUGUAGAUUAUAUUAUUAAUAAUGUCAUUACCUCCGAUUUCUACAGCAUAAAGGAAAGUUUGAUAAAACUUUGGUGGAGGUAAUGACUUCCUAUAUGCAUCUGUUUAAAAACAAAAAUAGAUUAAAAUAAAAUAGAUUAAUACUCUCAUAAUUGCUAUAAUAUAAUUACCUCUGUUUGAAUUGUAACCUGAUUGUAAUCUCUGUUUAAACUGCAAAAACUGUUGUAGCUGGUAAGAGAAAUAUAUGGGAUUUUGAAAGACGGUGUUGAGUGCUGUUGAGCCAGCCUGAGCAAAGUUGACACCAGUCCUAUAAUCUGGAUUAAUAGUCACAAAAUAAGGCUCUGGAUACUUGAACUUUAAGCCAGCACCUACGAGAAGAUGUUAGAAAAGUUCAUAAUCACACAUAGCCAUACUUAUGUAAUCAAUAAUAAGCCUUCCAUCUGAAAAUCUUCCAGUUGGACUUCCUGGAUAAGUUAUACCAUAAGGAGACUGAUUUCCUGGAUUACUUGGAAACACAUUAGCAGAGGCUCCUGUGUCUGAAAGAGAAUCCCCAAAUAUGAUUAUUCCAUCUACACAUUGGGGUAGUGGUGGUAAAUGUGUGCAUAAUGCAAAAGAAAAUAGUAUGCUGAAAAAUGAAAUAAUACAGGAAAACCUCAUCUUGUUAAUUUCUGAGUAGUUUGGAUGAAUGUUUCCUAGAUCACUUAAACAUUUUUAAAUUCAUAUGAAGUGGAGGAAGUCAACUUUGCUACUAAUAUAUUGCAAUACUUAUAAGUAAUACGUAUAUAUGCUUUCUUUUAGAUCUUGCAGUGCCUAUCUAGAAGCAUAAGAUCCCAACAUAAUAUAUGCUCACAAUCUAUCACAAUAUAAUCUCACCCAUAUUUUGUUAGAUGUUAGUUGGACAAAUUUGCACGAAACUAGAAAAGAAUCUAACUAUGCUCACCUAGAUAAACAUAAAGAUGUUUUAUUAAAAUAGAAAAUUGUUCAAAUAGAAAAGAUUGUAGCUUGUUGUGUUAUUUUAGUAAUAAAUUAUAAUCUUUCAAAUUAAUAAAAAUAAUUAUUAUAAAGUUAUGGUGGCUGUUAACUACAAGGUUGGAGUGUCAAACCUUCUUUGUAAAAAAUAAUAAUGGGAACUAAUAUUUUUAACACUAAAGCCAUAAUAUUAUACUCUAGAUCACUAAAUCCAAGACUAAACUUUACUUCCAGCUUGGUAUAUCUUCAAAACUCUCCCAAAUGUAAAAUAAAUUAUAAUCAAACUUUAAAAAUAUAGUAGGAAAGUUCUUUAAAUCUCCUUGUUAACAAAAACUUGUCAGUCGGGUAUCAAUUUCCACACUAGAACUUGUAUAGUUUAAAGAAAUAUUAGACAAUAGCCAAGGAAAGAGGUUAUAAAAGUGAUAGGUGUGCUAGUCUGUCAAAUAAUUUUCAUUUCCUACAUCCUCCUUUGCUGUCAUAUAGGGAGAACUUAAGCUUAAAAUGGUUACUUCUCUUUAAGCCAUCAUAUAAUAUAUAAUUUUUAGGGUCUUUUAGGUUUUAUUUAAAAUCUUGUACCUCAAUACAGGAGGAGGAGGCUAGUUUGGGUUUAAGCCCAACUUCUAUACCAUAUUAAUUGGUGGAAUAUUUAUAUCCUUGCAUUGUAGCACUAGUAUGUUGAAAUAGUGCCAAACUUCUUUUCACUUUAUUUUGCGUGUUGGUUUUACAAUAUGAUACUAAAUGCUUUAGGAGUGUUCUAAUGUCUAUACUCAUGUUUCUAUGAUUUUGGCUCCAUCUUUUCAUUUAAUGGCCUAAAGCUUUGAAUUCAAGUUCUGCUCCACUACCCUUGGUCCAUGUGUCCAAAGGUUUAACUCUGUAAUUAUCUUAUGGUAAAUUACCAUAGGGUAAAGGUUGAAAACCAUGUGUAAAAGCACAAUUUACCCAACUCAAAAAAGAGAUAAAAAACACUUCUUUGUUAAUCAAAUUUGUUUAAGGCAAUUGCAAUGCCGUAAAUAAGCCAUAAGGCACUCUCCUACUCUAGGAUUUGCCCUCAAACUCUUUCAAUCUUUCUAGAAGAAAAGAUUUGACUCCUCAAGAAUACUUUCAUAUUUAAGAUCAUUAUUCCCAUUGUGUUCACUAACAAGCCAUAGAAUGCUCACACACAAGCUUAGGGCUAUUAUAUUGCCAUUAGCAAGUUAUGAGAUAUUUCUAGUGAAAUUGUUUGUUGAGAGAUCCAUCACUUACAACCCCAUGAGCAAUGCAAUUGCCAGGCAGUUUUAGAAAACACUCUUCAUCUUAAUUCUACAAGAACAUUAUUAAAUAUUGUUAAACACUUUUAAAUGCUUCAAGAAAGAGGUGAGGCUCAACUUAACCCUUUUUGUUACUAUCUCACGCUCCUAGCCAAAUCUUUUAUAACCAGAUUGCAAAUCCUUAUCUGCGUGUAAGUAAUUAAAAAGAACAAUACAAAAAAUGAUGUAGUGCAUGUGAUUAUAAGAUGAGAUUUAGAUAUAUUAUCAUUAUGGAUCUUUGGAACCUUAAAGGGAUAAAAUAAUUAAUAAGGGUUUUUUCAUCAAGUAAUUGACCUUUAUUCAGUUAGCUUAAGGAUAGUAAAAAGAGAAAGAGCUUAUGAAUAAGAGUGCAACACCUUUUAAUCAAUUAAAGGUAUUAAGAUACUUUAGGUUAAACAUUUUGAGUAGUUUUGUAAUAGAAAAUUCAUGAUAAACUACUUUAACUAGUUUUUGCCAUGAGGUAAAUAAAAUCAGGAUUGAAUAUAUUGCCUUUGCUCUUUUAAAUAGUAUUAGCAAGGAAUCCAGCUCUGUUAGAAAAUACAAAAGCAAAUUAGUAAAAUCCAGAAAUAUAAGUAUAUCUCUUUUCUUCUGGUCAUACACUUAGUUCCAUAUAAAUCUAUUGUGCUCCAAUAUAAUAUCAAACAACUGGCCACCCUCCUUUUCCCCAACCCUCUUCACAAGUGCUCUCUAGAGUCCCAAGGCAUUUAAUCUAUUUAAAUUUAGCACAAAUGGUUUAGGGUUUAACCUUGUCUUAUAAUAACCCUCCUCAUUAACUGGAACUAACCAUAAGGGUGAAAGUAAAUAAUUUUUAAACUAUAUUUAAUUGUAUUAUGUUACUUAAAAAGAUCACCAAAAAUCUAAGCAGGAACACUUCCCCUCUUCAAAGUGGUGAAAACGAUGGCAAUCCCGGAUGACAAUCUUCCUUCUCGUCACCUUAGACAUGAGCUUGGCUGCUGCAUGGCAGUCGGAGCACACCCGCAGGUUCUUUAGAAUCCUUAUCGUCGUCCCGGGAGCAGUGGAGAUCACUCCAAAUGCAAUCGCCAACUUCUCACUGUGGUUGAGCAGGAGCCUCCGCUUUUGCUCCUCGCAAACAUCAUGAAGCACCUCCCUGGUGUCCGGGACGUAUCCUUGUUUCACCACCAACUCAUGGAGCCUUCCAAGCUCGCGACGAAUUUCCUGGUUUCGUACGUGGCUCGUGUCCCCGACCGUGAACUUGUGGAGCUUUCUGUCGAUCUCUAUCAAGCUAAUCCCUGGCUGCUUCACAACGUUCCUGUCCUUCAUGAGCCUCCUCACUGCCUGGACGUCGCUCUCCAUGCCGAGAGAAGCGUACAAGCUGGCCAGGAGUACGUAAGGAGAAGCGUUGCGCGGCUCCAGCUCAAACAGCCUGUGUGCUACCCGAGCGCCCCGUUCCACGUCUCUGUAAGUCUUGCACGCGCCGAGGAGGCUUCCGAGAGCCACUUCUAGAAAGCCCGAGCACCCGGCAGCCUGGAAGUCGAUGAGUUCUUCGGCGGCGUCGAGCUCUCCCGUCCGUCCCAGGAGGCUCACCACAGACUGGUAGUGAUCGCUGCUCGGUUGCAAGCCGUGGUCGCUACUCAUGGACUGGAAGUAUUGGACGCCCGUGUCGAGGAGUCCCAAGUGGCUGGACGCCACGAGAAUGCUCAUGAAGGAUAUAGAGUUUGGUCGGAGGCCUUCGACGAGCAUUGCAUGGAAGCUCUCCAGAGCGUUUCGGCAUAGCUCAUGCUCUUCGCUGGUGUCGACCGUGUGCCCCUCGCUCGAGCUCGGGCUCGUAUGCCCGCUGUGGGCAUAUCCGCCGAUGAGCGAGUUCCAAGUUGCCACAUCCCUCUCGAGCAUACUGUCAAAGAGCUCCUUUGCUUCUUCCAUCCUCCCGUUGUGAGCAUAAGCCGCCACCAUUGCGUUCUGGGACACUAAGUCCGGCUCUUCAAUGCAGGAGAAGACGGUUCUUGCCUCCUCGAGCUGGCCAUACUGAGCGUAGAACACCAGCAUCACUGUCCUCGAGACGGAGUUGUGCUCGGGAAAGUUCUCGUAGAGGCUGCUGGCUUCUUCCAGAAGUCCUCCCUCGGCAUAGGCAUGUAGCAAAGUGAUCCACGAGAUCGUGUUCCUCAUCGGCAUUACGUCGAAGGCACUCUUCGUCUUCGAGAUCUGCCCAGCCCGAGAGUUCGCUAGCAGAAAGAAGUUCCAGGAGACAACGGUGCGUUCUGGCAUGCUGUUGAAAAACUCGCGAACCUGGUCGAGGUUCCCGCUGUGGUGAACGAGCGCCCUGAUCAUGCAGUUCCAGGAGAUGAUGCUCCGCUGCGGCAUUACCUCGAACACCAUCCUCGCGCUGUCAAAGUCUUCAUUGUCCGCAUAGGCCGUCAGCAUCGCAGUCCAAGAGACGACGUUACGAGAGUCGGCCUUGGCCUCGAAAAUGCCUCUGGCUCGCUGCAGCUGGCCGUUUUGAGCGUAAGCCUCGAUCAUAACAGUGAGAGAGACCUCGCUCAGCUCGGGCAUGCCACCAAAGAGCUCCUGGGCUUCCUCAAACCUCCCACCGCGGUAACAGGCCUCAACCAUUGCCGUCCACGACACCACCGUCCGUCCAGGCAUAAAGUCGAACAAAGCUCUCGCCUCUCGCAAGAGCCCGUUCUCAACGUAGGCCGAAAGCAUCGCGUUCCACGCGAUAACAUCCCUCGCCCCGGCCCUGUCAAAAACAGCCUUGGCAUCGGCCACCCGGCCAGCCUGACCAUACGCCAUUACCAUCUUCGUGCGUGCCACCACGUCCGGUUCGUGCAUCAUGGCGAAAGCUCUCUCGGCCUCCGAAAGAUGACCGUUCUGGGCAUACGCGUUCACCAUAAAGCUGAGCGUCACCACGUUCCACUCGGGCAUCCUGUCCAUAAAUCCCCUGGCCUCGACCAAGUACCCCUUCUGUGCGUGCGCUGCAAGGAUGUUGUUCCACGCCGAGACGUUCCGUUGCGGCAUGCUCUCAAACAUUACCCUGGCGUCACCGAGAUACCCGUUGCUUGCCAAGGCCGUCAUCAUGCAAGACCACGAGUACGCGUUCUUGGGAUUUAUCUCCUCGAACACCCGCUGUGCGUCAUCUGGGCACCCGCAUUUCCCGUACAUUUGCACGAGCAAGUUGGCGAGGAAACCAUCCUGUACUACGCCACCCCCGCCGCUGUCCAAGAUAUGCGCAUGGACGCGCUUGCCUCUUGCGAGGUCUUUCGCGUCGCUGCAAGCUCGCACCAGCUUCGCAAACUUGUCCCUGUCCAGCCUCUGUGCCAUCCGGAAAUAUCACUACCAUAUCUCUCGCCUGCUGCUGCUCCUCCUGCUGGAAAAUGACGAUCCCAUUUAUCUCUGUAACUAUCUGUCCGUCAGUGCUAACUCCCACCUUGCUUCGUAUCCACCUGUCUAUCUGUGCCGCUAUCGCUAUUCGCUAACACCCAGCUUGGCUUGACUGAUAGGCCCGAGCCGGGCAUAGCACUUCGCACGGUAGACAAACGGCUUCACCAUGCCCGAAGAGGUAAGCCAUCGUACGCCAAGUACGCCUCUUUUGUCGACACUCGCAAAGGCUACUCCGCCAUCCACAUGCAUAGACCGGGCAGCAAAAGUUGCUCCACAUAAAUAGCUAUCAGCACCACAGCGGCAGGAGCAGCAGCAGCAGAGAGCUCCAGCUCCAGAAAAGAAAAGAAAGCCUGCCUGCCUUCACCAGUGUCAAAUCAAUCAGUCGUGGGGAAUACUAGGAGAAGUAGAAGAGAGAAAGCUCACUUAACUGACUUAAGCUCGGUGCGCGACUCCGCUGAUGAUAUGUUGCAUAACGCAGCAUGUGAAGAACACAGUGGAGGUGUCGACGUCUGCAAGCUCUGGUGAUGCUCUUUUAACUUUGCUCUCGUUUCGGUACUAGCGGCCCAAGGACUUUUACCAGAAGAGCCACCCAUUCCUUUCGUCCUUCAGUUGCGUGCUGGAUUAACGGGCCCUCAGGAAUCUCUCCAGAUUGCAGGCAAAGGAGAACGCUGCUGUGAUUGUGAUGCCAACCCUGUAACCUCCCUCGCGUAUUACAGACCGCGGCACGAUAUAUAGGACGAUGAAUUUUGGCUUCCAGCCGCAGUAGCCAGGAGCUGGAGCAGCAUAGCUACGAGUGUCCUCAAAACUUGGUCCACUGGAGAAGAAUCUUUCCAUAGAACUCUGCUGUCAGCGCCACCAAAGAUAUGUUGUUUUCGGUCUUAUAGGAUGCUGCUGCUGCUGCUGCUGCUGCUGUUUGUCUCUAGAGUCACAAGCCUUGCCAAUGCCGGUAGCAUGGUUGUCUCCAACAAAUUCUCCUGCUGGCUGCUGAUCUCACUCCUCCUCCUCCAGCUCGCUAGUCUCACAACUCCGAGUCCUUUCCCCCGGGGUAAUAAUUCGCUAUUCAUGUCCCUUUGUCUCAAUAUGCCAGCUGAUGCCAUUGUUGUCGUUCGUGCUGUGCAGGAAGAAAGGAUGACCCUCGUCGCCACGACAAUCAAAGCCUGGCAAGGGUGAUUGCCACAGCACCGGGAUCCAAGCCUCCGAGUUGUCUCAACAAGUGCGACUCUUGCACUCCAUGCCAGGCAGUUCAAGCGGUACAAGAAGCUCCGGACACUGUUAUAACGGGUAUAGGCUCCAGGCCACCGAGCUGCCAGAAUAAGUGCAACCGAUGCCUCCCUUGCCAAGCAGUCCAGGUUCCCACCCCCGAUCCCAAGGAUGAGGAGGCCAAGCGAGUUUCUCCGGCGAAAGAUGAACGUGAGGCGGCUGCUCUUUACUCCAAUUACAAGCCCAAAGGAUGGAGGUGCCAAUGCGGAAACAAGCUCUUCAAUCCGUAGAUAGCAGUAGUGUUCCUGUUUGCGUUUGUGGCAUGUCAGUUCUAGCAUAGAGUGUAAGAUCGAGAAUGUCUGUUUGUUUUACCGAGAAAAGUAGACUUUUUUCCGAGAGUGCUCGGCCUCUUACUGUGACGAUAGCUGAGCGAAGAACACGUUCAUGGGAAGGAACAAAGUUCGUCGUUGACAUGCGGCGUGGUCCGUCCAUCGCCAAACGAGUUUAGCACCAAAGCUCAUUUGACCGGCCUCGUACAGACCACGCAUUAUUUCGCUGAGAAGUCUUCCGUACCUGGUCGGAUUGGGAAUAGACUUCGUAUCAAUGUGACGCCGGCCGUCAGUUGCAUACAGCUGUCUGGAUUCAGCACCUAGAAAUCAAACCUCCACAAGUCAUGCGUCCAUUUCCAGAGGCCAGUGUAAAAUAAUCUUACUCUUGAAUCUGGAGCCGAUUCUUUUAGCUGGGUAAGAAGACGAGAUGCUUGCGCUUUCAGCCUCCUGCAAUUACAGUGGAUCAGCGAUGUUUAGAUAAACGGAAAGGGAUACAAGCAAAGGACGGAUUCAAUCGGAUCCCUCUUAGAGCUUUGAAGUGGAGUCAUUUAAUACCUCGGGUCCUUUUCUUGUUCUUCUUCUCCAGAGCAGAUGUUACAGUUCGACAAGCCCGAAAGCAAGGUCCAUUAAAGUCGACAGUCUGGAAAAUGUCAAUGUUUGAUGCUUUAAAGCUGCUAGUCCGAGCAAUGUGUUGGAUCCGAGCAUUUAACGUCCCAAAUUUUAAGCCACUGCAAUAUAACAAGAAAAAUACUGUUAGUUUUUUUAACACUCUUUCAAAACUUCUCUGCAUAUCAACAAAGCCAGAACAGGAAAAAGAACUCACCGACGCUUGUCCGAAUUCUUCACUGUAAGGCCCUGAAAUAUUUAUCUUGUCGGAGGAUAUUUUUGUGAUGCUGCUCAGAGAAAUUUCUAGAGGGGGGCUUUCCGCCAGUGCUAAAAGGCCAUGGCUUUCUAUAUCGCGAAGAACGGGCUUCCUGUUACAUCAAACAAAGUGGGAUUUACGUAUCAGAAUAAAACAAUACCUUCACAGAUUGUCCAUGAUGCGAUUCAUGCAGAAACAUUCAAGAGGUCUUGUCCACGCACGGUUUUCAUCUCUGAAAAGAUGACGGUACUGGUGGCAGGAGGAGGGACCAAAACCUGCAACAAAACAAUGGUUAGCUGCAAGCGAGAGUGAUCGACACUAAAGAGAUUUGACUCGACCAUACCUUGUAGAAACAAUCCUUAAUCUACGUUUUGCGUGGUUUUAGAUCGAAUAUCUUGGAUCUGGGAGAAGCUUGCCUAAAUCGCCAAGUUAUCCCGUGUUGAGGAAUACAAGUACCUGAAAAAAAAAUUGUUAGUACAGAACAGAAGGCGAAUAAGAAGAAGAAAUGAAGUAGCAGGAAAAAAAAAAGUGGCAAGGACAUAGUGAUCGCAUAAAGGACUAGUGGAAUUCAUUCGACUUGUCGCUUUGGAUAAAACAUGCAAGAACCUCGCAGAUAAACACGAGCUAUUUGGAUUCUUAAGAAACAUACCGCGCCAUAGACUCAAUCUUACCCCACAUUGGAAAAAAAUCGACAAGCUGCGAUUUUUCCAACGCGAUUCUUACCUCGCCUGGCGAGAUCGACGCAAGGAACCCUAUCGAUUGCUCGAAAGCCCUAAAUCUUCCCCCCAAUAUUUUCAAAUUUGGGAAUUUCUUAGGGUUCUUGGCCAUGGCGAGGAAAAUCCAGCUGACGCUUCUAGGAUGCGGGGGCGUCGGGCGCCAGCUCCUCCGCCACAUUGUCUCCACUCGUAAACUACACGAAGAUCAGGUAUCUAUUCGCCUAUCGCCCAAGAUUUCUCUCUUUGAAUCAAAUGCUCAGGGUUUGCGAGUCGCUGUGAUGGCUGUAGUGGAUUCCAAAUCCAUCGUUUUGGGUGAGAAAAACGAAGAACUGGACGACACUGCUCUUCUGCAAAUUUCUCUUGCGAAGGAAAAGAACAAUCAAAUGCCCGGUACAUGUCUGUUUUUAUUUUCCUUUUCUUUAAACGAUGAAAGCUCAGCUGGAUUGAAUGCGCGAGCCGUUCGCAAGGAAUAUUUUGAUGCAACUCUAGCAGCUGCGAUAAGAACCAUCACAGAAGAAACUGGUAAAACUUUCCUUUCAACUUUUUUGAUGGAUGAUCAUGCACCUUUUUUUCUUGUUUAUCCUACAGGUCGUCCUUUGGUUGUAGCUGACUGUACCGCAAGCGAAAAAAUUGGACAAGCACUUGCAGAGAUCGCGGACUUGAAUUGCUGCAUUGUUCUUGCGAACAAGAAGCCUCUCACCAGCUCGUUUGUAAGAUCGUUCUUUUUUUGUUUCUUCUUUUUUCCUUGACCCAUGGCUGCAGAACGUUUACGAUAGGAUUGCAGCACUGAAUCGACGUUAUCGCUGUGAAUCAACAGUUAAGCAAGAAGUAUUUGUACGUACAUUUUACAAACAUUUCUCAAGCAGGUCGGUGCUGCUCUGCCAGUCAUAGCAACUUUGAACCGUCUGCUAAAUUCCGGAGAUUCGAUCAGGAAAAUUGUUGGUGCUCUCAGUGGUUUGUCCUUUCAUUCCCAUAAAAAAUUUGCCACUUCUAACGUCCUUUGUCAGGCACUCUCGGCUUUGUAAUGAGUCGGUUGGAGUAUGGUGAAUCGUUUAGUGAUAUUGUGAGACAAGCGAAAGAGCUUGGUUACACCGAGCCAGGUAGCUAUCUUUCUUUUCUAUUUUUCGUGUAGUUUAUUCUUACGCUUUCAGACCCUCGUGAUGAUCUUGGCGGUAUGGACGUAGCAAGGAAGGUGAAAUCACUUGCUACUAUCUCGUGAAUGCAACAUGACUUCUUUCAUUUUUCAGGCGCUUAUAAUGGCUCGACUAAUGGGAUGGAGAAUAAACUUAGAGGAUGUGGAGGUACUCACUUUCUUUGGUUGGAUUCCUCUUAGUGACGUGCUGCUUAAAGGUUGAGUGCUUAUAUCCGCCAAGUCUGGCUCCCAAACUGAUGAGCACCAUGCAAUUUCUAAAAGGACUACCCGAACUCGACUUGCCAAUGAGAAACCGUGUGAAAGAAGCAGCUGCUAGGGGUUGUGUUCUACGAUAUGUGGCGACGAUCGAAAACUUUCAGUAAGUCAAUCCGCCUGAGCUUACCAAAAACCUGUCCUUUGCUUACAGUUGCAAAGUGGGAAUUGUAGAGCAGCCUCAGCAGUCCGCUCUCGGUCAGCUGCAUGGAAGCGAUAAUCUGGUAAUUGUAUAGAGCUUGUGCGUUUCCUGAAACUUUGUUCUUGCAGGUCGAGAUUUUCACGCGCUGUUAUUCGACAUCGCCUCUUGUUAUUAAGGGAGCCGGGGCAGGCAAUGAUACUACAGCCGCUGGUGUGUUAGCGGACGUUUUGGACCUCCAAGACUAUUUUGGCUAGGUAUCGAAUCUUAAGCAAAAUCGAACUUUUUAAUAAGCCUUCCUAUUCUUGCUUCAUAUAAGGGAGAGAACGUAGGAGACAGAUUUCUGCACAGAGAAAUGUCGUCCCAGCGAAUGUUUAUCGAGCACCUGCGUCGCGACCGCUUUGGAAUCGGCCAGUCCGGUCCCAAUCCUCUCGCUCUCAUGCUCCAGGAGACGAUCAGGCUCCUCUCGGCCGAGCUCUACCAGAAGGACAUCCAUUUCCUGUCCGAACUCCUCCAGGUACUUUGCUCGAACUUGGUUCUGUACCUGACAAACAUGAGCGUCAUAGAACGCUGAGGACAACACUUACCAUUCGUCCGUGGAGCCGAGCAUCGAAAUCUAUCUCACAAAGACCGACGUCACUGGCACUGGAGCAGCUGCCACGCUGCUGCUCUUGAACAACGAAGUUGGUUUCUCGGAAAAGAAUAUAGAGUCCUUGUGCGGCGCUGGUCAGUCCACAAAGAAAGGAAAGAAAUCUCAAGGAUACAUUGGCGAGAAAGGUGAGAUAAUUCUUUCUUACCUCUCCCUCUCUAGCCGUGGUAACGUCUCUUGCUCGUACAGGAAUUGGGUUUAAGAGCGUUUUUCUCGUCACCAAGCAGCCGUAUAUAAUCACCAAUGGCUUUCGUAUUCGUUUCGACGAAGAGCCCCACAACGAGGCCAAGCUCGGGUAUAUUGUCCCGGAAUGGGUCGACCGUCCUACAGACGCUGUGCUGCAGAAGGUCUGUAGCAAGACCGAGCUUCCUGCAACGGUGAUCAUCCUUCCCUUGCGUCAGGAAAAGAUUUCGGAGGUGGCAAAACAGCUUACUCAAAUCCCAGCGGAGACGCUCCUCUUCUUAUCGAAGAUACGCAUGCUCUCCAUCUACGAUCAGCAGUCGCGGCCUCCCACGGAACUGGUUCUCUCCAGAUCUGUGGAGAUGACAACGUCAAAGAAUGGAAGCGUGGAAACGAGCACAACUUUUCUGACAGCUAGUAACGGACGGAAUGGCACUCAGCACAGCAACUACUACAUGUUUAAGCAGACUUUGAAAGUACCUGAGGAGGCCAAGGUUGAAAAGCGAAAAGAUGUCGAUAGCUGGACGAUCACUCUAGCCUUUCCGGUGGAUGAUCGUAUCUCGAGCAGCUGCAGCAUUGGCGAUAUCUUCUCGUUCCUGCCUUCCGAUAUCCACUCGGGCCUGCCGUUUCUUAUCAACUCGGACUUUUUGCUCGUUUCCUCCCGUGAGACGCUCCUCUUUGACAGCCCCUGGAACCAGGGGAUCUUUCGCUGUGUUCCCGAGGUUUUCUACAACGCCUUCGAGCUUCUCCUCAACACCACGGCGUUUGGACUGCAGAGUAUACCGUCAGUAGCACGCAUGGCAAUGUACAAGUACGUACCUGUGACUGCUUGCCGCAACUCGUACCUCGAGAGAGUCCGCAACGAUAUCUUGUCCAAGCUGAAGGACAACAACGUCAUUCUUUGCGCCUCGGACGUCGGCCGUGCACCACCGAGCGGGCAGCUUUGCAAGCCUGCUCUUGCGAGAAAAAUCGCCCCCAGCUUCCGAGAGCUCCUCAAAGCCGCACCGAAGUGUCCCAGGUUCUUGCGAGGAAGUCCCUGGUUCUUGCGACGAAGUUCCUCGUACAUAGUGGACAGCACGCUGCAGGAGAACUACGGCUCGGUGCUGAGACUCCUGGGAGUCCCAGAUAUGAGCAACGAUGAAUAUCACCAAAGCCUCGACUCUGAAGACUGGAUGAGAUCGCUCCCCGACGAUGCAUAUGUCAAGCUGCUGGUGUUCCUGUCCUCCAAGUCGUCAACUUUGAGAUCCCUCAGGUUUCUCAAGUAUCGAGGCUCCGAUGGUCGACUCCAGUUGGCAAGCAUGGAUGAUCUCGCGCGAAACGAUGGCAGAUCCAUGUACUGGGAUUCUGGUCACAGAGCUACCGCUUGGCUCGCUGGUUGGACAGAGGUGUUUCAACGUUGGCUAACUUUCAACUUCGUUCCAUCGGCCUGCGCUGCAAAAAUCCGGCAGCACUCGGUGUUAGAGAACUGGUUGGAGAGAACCCCCUUCAGCGUGAGCGAACUGACAGCAUGCUCACUCGCUCGUCAGGUUCUUGGAGCAGUCACUGCGAACUCCUCAAAUGCAAAGCUUGCUGUUCUAGCGAUGCACUUCCUGUUCGACCUGUACAGAAACGACCGCAGCUCGUACACAUCCAUCAGCAACCAAAAGCGUAAUGAACCAAUCGUCGAGAAUGACGGAGCCGUGAGUCCCUAUGUUGCGAGUUAUGUUUCAACGCGUCCAUUGUUGCUACCGGCGGCUUGUGGAGCGAAGUGGCCGCUCUUGCUCCCGUCUGACGCGUGGAGACGCGGCGUUCGAAAAUUGUCAGAAGAGUAUAUGGAGUCAGCAACGAUCGAUCUCUCCGACUCCGACGUGCGAACCGAGUUUGUGAAUUUUCUGAAGGAGCAGUUCCUGGCUACGGACAUCCCCGCCUUUGAUCCGGUGGACGAGGCCCUUCCUCCGCAUUAUGUUGGUAACGUCGCAGCGAGCUCGUUGUUACUGAAGUGGAUUAAAUCCAGGCACUGCAAUGCACCCGCUUUCACUUCCAGUAUUAAGACUACCAAGUGGUUGAAGACGAGCCACGGAUACUGCUGCCCAACCGUUGCAUUCCUGCCGGUGCCUGAGCUGCUUAAAGUCUUGAAAGUCGAGGACGUUCCGUUCGUGGACAAGGACUGGAUGCCAUUGGAGGAGUAUAAGAACGAGUUCCGAAGCCUGGGAGUGGCUUGCGAGCCCGGCAUGGGAUAUGCAACUGUCCUCCGCUGUCUCGGCAAUAUGCAGAAGCUUCCUGCUCGGCAAGUCGACACGGCUAAAGUGGUCAGAUUUUAUCAGUACCUCUCCCGCUGCGCUGAACAAGAAUUAUGGAGGGACGUUGACGUGAUCUGGGUGCCGCAGAGCGAAGGCCGUGCAGCAACCUGGAAGAAAAAGGAAGAAUGCGUCAUUCACGACGUUGAGGGCUUGUUUGAAGAACUCGGUGUUGUACCUCUGGAUAGCUGCUACGAGCGGGUCAUGCAAGACAUCCUUCAGAAGAGGUUUGAUGUUUGUGAGAAGCCUUCGAUCAUCAAGUUCUGCGAGCUCUGGCAGAGGUGGUCGUCUAAAGGAAAAGAUGUCGAGGUACAAAAGGCUUACACAGUGUGGCGUGAGCUGGUGGAGGCGAAGCUAGUCUCGUCACGACCAACUUCGACGCCGUAUCUGAAAGUUUUCCGCGCGAGCAGCUGCGUUCCUUCAAUACCAGCCUGCGAAAAGAACGCAGCCACCGUGAAGCUUCUUCCGCCUGCAAAGACGGUCAUGGUUGAUCAGCUAGAGCUGGAACAUCUCUUUAGAAACACUAAUCCUCGUCCGUGGGUGGCGUGGUAUCCAGCCAGCCAGGAGAUCAACACGCAGGAGCUAUAUGAAGUCUAUUCCUGGCUGGGGGUCAAGACAAUCUCCGAAUGUGCUGAAUCGGAGACGGACACGAGCUGCAUGAGCCUCUCACUCGGAAGGAAACUGGUCUGGGACGAAGGAUACAUCCACCUGGGACUGUUUAGAGCAAUACUCGGGUAUCUGGCUCUAUCACUCUCCGUCAAGGAGCGACAAACCAUAGUGCAGGAACUGCUGCGUCUAAAGGAGGUGGAACUCGAAACGGGCCUGAAAGUUCACUGGACUCUUCGCGUUGGAGACACUACACGUCACGCGGUCUCGGAGAGGAUGCUCUACUGGAACAGGGAGAGGCAGGAACUAGCCUAUGUCGACGAGGGGCAAAGGAAGAAGAGGAACACAGAGUUUGGGACCGAGUUCGCGAGGAUCAUAGCGGAGGGUCUGCUUUUCCACCACCGGGACUUGAUUCCAGGCAUGGAGAGGCAUCUGAGCAUGCUGGCAUUCUCUAAGUUCGACGUCAUGGAGGUGGACAACAUGCUCAUCAAGCACAACAUGCGGCUCUAUAGCGAGGACGAGACGUUUCUAAAGACCGGGGUGAUUGUGGAUCCAUCUAAAGCUGACGCUGAGAAGAACUUACAUGGUGGUGAAGCAGUCGCAGAGAUGGAACCGUUUGUGCUACCGGAUGUUCCUGAAACGGAGGAAGAUCAGCUGGAGAGAGAUUCAAGAAUUUCCGAACGUCCAGCAGACUCGAGAUCCACCACCAUUGUCGUCGCUCCAAGUUCUUACUCUCCAGCUUUUGUCGCUGCUACUCCGAGACCACCACCUCUGGACAACCGGAAAUACCUCCUGGAGCAAGCUUUCCAAGUCUUAUCAUCGCUGGACGAGAUCAAAGACGAGGCGUGGACGAUGGAGCUGCCAGACGAGGUUUUUAACUCAGAGAAGAUCAGCGCGUGGCGAGAGACGUACCUUCCAACAGUUCGUCGCCUUUUGGACUAUCCACCCGAGGAAGGUUACCUCAAGCCCGGGAUGAGGACUGGCAUGUCUCUAGACAAGAUGCUCACAGCGGCAUUUCUCGACGCUGGAAACUUUCCGGGAGUGAAAGGAUCGAGCCACCAUCACUUGAGCGUCGUUGGAGCAGCGUGCCUCAACCUGUGCCUGGCGAUGGAGCUCGUCAAGCUAGAUGACAAUCACCACGGCGGAGUAAACGGCGCUUACAAGCUGACGAACACCUCCCUGCUCGCGGCGUGCUUCCAUGCCUGUGGGCUGGACGAAUCUGUGCUGCGCAGCUCGAAUUCGGCAGCCGUGAGCGACCUCGUGGGGGCGAGCGUCGCGAGAGCCCUACUGGCUGUGGGGUUUUGCGCCUACGACGAUGGAUUGGGAGAAGUGAGGCGGAUCUACCAGGAGGUGUUCCUCGCCGCCCUCGGCGAUGCUCUCGGCUGAAAUUUUCAUGCGAAAUAUGCUAGGCUCACCGAUUUUGUCCUAAAAACUCUCCCGCCCAAGUUUUCAAAUACUUUCUAGGAAUAUAGCCAGCAUAUUCGCUACUUUGAGCUAGGCAAUCCCUGGAUGAAAGAUAUAAGACUGAUAAGAAUUUUGCCUGGAUCAAAUGACGAGAGAGGCUCACCUGGAAACUCAGCAGCCUGAUACACAGUUCCAGCAUCUUCCAAACCAUCUCAGUUGCUCAAAGAUAGCCAAAUUCAAUGUCUCGGACAUUGCAGUUGUACAGCUGCGAAUGUAAUCGAUGUCACUUAGAGGCGUUCAUUUUUGUGAAGAAGGUGAUAGGCAAAGAACAAAGGCAAAUGCCUGAGGGGCUGGCACUUCCAAGAUGCUAGCCCGGUCAUGGAAUAAAGUGAUUCUUGCAUGAAACAGAGUGGCUCAGAAUGCCUGUGCCGUAGCUGAAUGGCCCUGCGACUUUGCUGCUACCAUCCUGGAUCAUGUUCCCGGUGUUGUCGAAAGUUAAAGCUGGAAGAAGCACAGAUUAUUGCUGAGCUAGAUAAUCUUAAAUUAUGAGAACUACCAAUUUUAGUUUGCGCGUGGUUAGUAUAGUCAAAAUUAGAGUUUUUUUAUUGUUAGAUUUAUUCUAAAUUGAUAAUUCCUUUGCAGAAACCAGCUUCACAAUAUUUUAUGGUUAUUUUCAGAAUAAAAAACAAAAGCAAUAUAUGAUAGCAAUUCUAUGAUUUCUAAAAAUCAAUAAUUUUACUCCAUUAUUUAUAUUAAAUCAGAUUUUCUAUUUAUAGAGAUUAUAUUAUUAAAAAUUAUUAUAUGUAUAUAUGUUUUUAUCUUCAGAAUAAAAAACUAAAGCAAUAUAGAGAUUAUAGAGCUGUAUGUGACAUUUUAAAUAAAAUUUGAAUAAAUUCGAGAAUUAUUUAAUCCAGGUAUAUUCCUGGUUCAGAAUAUAAUGCAAUCAAUGAUAGUCCAUUAUUUGUGCAGCUAAAUCAAUAAUUAUAUGUAGAAAAAUUAAAGAAAUUAAUAUAAAUUAAAAAAAUAAAUUAAAAAAAUAUUUAUCUUUUAGGAAUGCCCAAAUAGUUUAGCUCCUUCCUAUGUGAUCACGAUUCAUAUUUUGCACUUUAUUUUUUCACUUAAAGCUCUGAAUUGUUUAAGCUUUUCUUGAUAUAAUAUAUGUGUUUAGGCAUAUCCAAAAACAUUUGUUCUAGAUUUUUUUCUAAUAAAGAACAAAACCUUCCAUUGUAACUAUUGAUGUUUGCCCAUAACCACUUUUAUGGAAAAAGAAUGUUAAUUUACACACACACACGCAUAUAUAUUUUCUUUAAUUUAAUAUUAAUUUAUAUUUAACAUUACUUUUCCCUAAUUGAUUUUAAGGUAAGAGUGUUUUUAACUCCUCCUUUAACCAAUGGAAAAAUAUGAUAGAAAAAUCAACAAUUGCAUCUAGAAUUUAGCCUUUAUUUUUUAGUUCUUUAUUUGAUGCUCACAAUAGUUAUUGAAGAGCACUCUUUAGGCAAAGGAUCAAAACAAUUUAAUCAACAAAGUAGUGAUGGGUUAAAACAUUAUGCAAUUCCUAUUGAUCAAUAGGAAUUAUACAAUAUUUCUCAGUGCAUGUCUAGAGCUUAGCAUAAUGUUAUGAGAUGUCACCUUUUCUACUUCUCGUUGCUCGUCUUUCAACUCCACUUCCUAUGGGUGAUGGUCUUAUUUUAAUGAAGGUUGAUGAUGCUGUUGUUCGAGUCCAAGGACAAGGGCAAGGCCGUGAUCAUGGCCGUGAUGUUCGUUGCUGGGCGUGUGAUGAAGUUGGUCACACUUAUUGGCAUUGUCGGCAUUUUCUAGAUUGGCAGCCACCAUUUCCUGGGUGGAGACCUUGGCAUCAACAACGUCUUGUUGGUGCUGUUGUAGUGGAAGGUCUAGACAUUGAGAUGCAUCCGGGAAACAAGGAGUCGGGCGAGUAACGGAGGGACCUUGCACAAAUAAGUCAGUGACCCCUUCAUCUAUCUUUCGGGAGUAUCAUCAAGGGGUUCACUUGGCACUAGUUCAUCUAAUGUUUCCUUUCCAAGCUCAUUUUAUUAAUAACCAAUCUUCUAUUAUUCUCUCCGUGUUGGUUGAUACAAGUUCAAGUUUAUCUUUUAUUGCUCGACCCGUUGCCACAUGUUGUUAUCUACACUUGCGUCGUGCAGUGAAGCUAGUUUUCAUUCUUUAUGGCAAUAGCUAUACACAUGCAUGUGCACGGGAUGAGGCAAAUUUAGUUAUGCGUGUGUGUGAUCUUGAGUUGGGUUGCAAUUAUUGCAAGUGGUGCUAAGUCAAGCUUUUGACCUCAUCCUUGGUAUGGAUUGGUUGCAACGCAAUCAUGCCAAGUGUGACUUUAAGGCUUUUCCCCUUUGUUUCAUACUUCCUUAUAUUUCAUCCACUCCUCUCACUUUCGAACCUCUUCGUCCCUCUAUUUCUAUCUCUGCUUCUAUUACUUUUGUCCUCCUACUCCUUCCUUCUAUGUCUCCAUCUUGUUCUACUCUUCCCUUUUCCAAUCCCUUUGACAAUCUUUGUGUUUCAAUGGUUGAUUGGUUCAUAAAGGAGUAUUUUGAUCUUUUUGAAUUUGACCUAUCAUCUGGGGCCAAAAUUGCCACACGUCAUCCUAUUCUAAUCGGGGAUGCGCGUCCAAUCAAGGUUCUUGUUCGUCGUCAGUCACCCAAAUAGAUCAAGAUUUUACAUACAAACGUAAAAGAGAAGGGUGUUAUUCAAAAGUCGCAAAGUCCUUGGGCAUGUGAACCUCAUCUUAUGACGAAGCCUGAUGGGAGUAUUUGUUUCUGCAUCAACUAUCAUCCAUUAAAUGAAGUGACAAUCCCAAAUGUAUACCCUCUUCCUCACACUGUUGAUCUCUUGGAUCAUUUGGGGUGAAGUUGUUAGUUCACCAAGCUAGAUCUUGCUUAUGGGUACUGGCAAGUACUGAUGGCUGAAAAACACAUUCCUAAGACUACUUCUUGUACACUAUUUGGUUUGUACAAGUUUUUGGUGAUGCUAUUUGGUUUGCACAAUGCUCCAGCAACUUUCCAGCGGAUGAUAGACGAGGUUCUUUGCGAUAUGCCAGAGGUGACUGUUGACUUCAUUAAUGAUGUCCUAAUUCACUCGGAGGGGACGUGAAAAGAGCACAUUCGUGAUGUUUGUAAAGUGUUGGAUUGGUUACAAGGGCAUUGGCUUAAAGCUGAAGCAGUCAAAGUGCAUAUUUAUGCCCAAGGACACGAUUUAUCUUGGGUACCGUAUUUCUCGUGAGGGUUUGCAAGUUGAUCCUAACAAAUUUGUGGCUGUUCUAAAAUUCCCUACUUUGAAGUGUGUGACUAAUGUGUAGCACUUCCUAGGAAAGAUGUAGUAUCUCAGUCAUUUGUGGAUCAUCUUUCUGAUCAUACUGCACCAUUGUGAGCAUUACUGAAAUCUGUAAGCAACCAAAGGGAACGACUCAAAAAACGAUCUAUAGGGGUUCAAAUAUAAAAGGAAAGGGCCCAUGAACAAAAAUGCACCCCCUUUUUUAAUCGGUUAAAGGUCUUGGGAUAUUUGGGGUUAAGUGUCAUUGGAUUUGAAUAAUACUUGGCUGGUGUAAGCGAUUAAUUUUUCCAUUCUACUUUAGUCACUUAGCCAUACCUCUGACCACUUGGAGGAGUCUCAUUCACAACCUCCAUAAGUUCAAUUCAGGACUUGGGGCUUGCUUGCCCCGAGAAUGGCAUUCAUGCCACUCAACCUUUGCACUUGGUCCAAGUGCUCCACGUGUCCGAUCCCAAGAUCGACACCCCAAGGUACCACCAACAUAUCAGCCCGUUAUGCUAGGCCAUGCCUAUUCACCUUGGUCACAUCAAUGGUCCAACACCAUCUGUAUUGUAAUCCUGUCUCUCCAAGACUGGGCCAUCCGUCCAUGAGUGGUCAGCCCAAAUCCACUCCUUAACAUCCUUAGGAUGCCCACAGAUAUGGGGAAUAGCCUUCCCCAGUAUCUCCUUUCCGGUCCUCACUAAGUCCCUUUCUGUUCAUGGCUGUGCUCGCCAACACUGCCAUUGGGGCAAGGCUCACAGGCCCGACCAUUAAGUCCCGUGGUCCUCUGGGACUUCUUCACCAUGUGACUAUGUCCUUGGUCACCACACCAGAGGGCUACUCCUCUUCCUUUCCACAGUCUGGGACUUUGGGACACCAUUUCGGAACACCGUGGCCCUAUGCAGGCCUCCUAGGUACUCUCCCCGCCUUCCGCCUUUGGGUGCUCUAGCCAUGGGCUUAGAGCGAGGUUCCGUUGAGCCACGCCUGGUAUCCAAGUAGGUAGUGCCACCCACAUUUGGACUGAGAGCAUUGACCUGGGGGAACUAGAGUCGGCUCUUGAACACUUCACCAAGCUACCCCGCUUGUCGAUCUAUAUUCACUCUAGUCUUGGACUUCCCAAUGGUCAGCUCAUCACUCAACAUUGGGUAUGGCCUUCCUGAGCCAAAUGGCCUUUCUUGGACAAACUGGCUCCACUAGGCUCCAACCCCCACACUCUCCCUACUAUACUUUUGGAACCCCCCGCAGCCCCCCCACCCCCCCUUGGGGGACGAUUGCUUUGGGCUUUCACCCAACUACCCGUAUUAGUAUUCGGACUCGGACUCGAGCUCGAACUCGGACUCGGACUCGGUCUCGGUCUUGGUCUCGGUCUCGGUCUCAGUCUUGGUUCCGGUUCCACCUUGGACUCCAUCUCGGAUCCAUCUUGAGUCCGUCUCGGAUUCCAUCUCGGACUCCAUCUCGGGUCCAUCUCGGACUCCUUCUCGGGUCCAUCUCGGAUCCAUCUCGGACUCCAUCUCGGGUCCAUCUCGGACUCCAUCUCGAGUCCAUCUCGGAUCCAUCUCGGACUCCAUCUCGGGUCCAUCUCGAACUCCAUCUUGGGUCCGUCUUACACUCCAUCUCAGGUCCAUCUUGGACUCCAUCUCGGGUCCAUCUCAGACUCCACUUCAGACUCCACUUCGGACUCCAACUCGGGUCCAUCUCAGACUCCAUCUCAGGUCCAUCUUGAACUCCACUUCGGACUCCAACUUGGGUCCAUCUCGGACACUUACACGUGUCAUGUGUUGGUCCUUUUGGGUCCCUUUUUGGAGCCUCGCUUAUUGCUCGUUUCAUGCUCAUUCCUCGAGCACUUUGUUGGGAGCUCCACUCCCGCUCUCAACCUUUCAAGUCGGAGCUUUUAGUCCAAACGUGUUACGCUCGUUUGGUUUUCGCUUCGGCCACCACCACAUGGCACCCUUCCGGCUCCACUUUGGGGCCUAGGGAUUUUGUGUCUCACAGUUGGAUGACCUCUUGGGAAGUCUAAAUUUAUGAGUUUACAUUUGGUAUCAAAGCAAGUCUCGAGUCUGACUCUAUUGGUUGGCUAAGGGAAUCACACCACAUGUUAAUUGACAUCUAGCAAAGGUCCAAUAUGCUUUGGCUGAGCUUGACCCAAGGAGUAGGAUGUCAAGCGAGCAGGGCUCUUGGGAAAGCUACAACUCUUAGCUUCCAUUCACGAGGGCGUGAACUUGCAGGGAAGCAUAGUGGAUUGUAAGCAACCAAAGGGAAUGAUUCGAGAGAUAAUCUAUAAGGGUUCAAAUAUAAAGGGAAAGGGCCCAUGAGCAAGAGUGCACCUCUUUUUCAAUCAAAUAUUGGGAUAUUUGGGGUUAAGUGUUCUUGGGUUUGAAUAGUAUUCUCCCGAGAAGUCCAAAUUUAGAAGCUUACAAAGUCAUCAACGUCCUCUUUCAUCUGGUCUUUGGAUUGUGAGUCGGCAUUCAUGGAUCUCAAAGAGCUCUUGAUGACUCCUCCAGUUUUGACAUAUUCUGACUACACUCGACCUUUUAUUUUAUGCGUGGAUGCUUUUGAUAUUUGUUUUGGAGGUGUGUUGAUGCAAGAGAGCCCAAGUGUACCUGGUCAACGCCAUCCUAUUGCAUAUAUAAGCCGUACAUUACAACUAACGGAGGUGAACUACUCCACGACAAAGAAGGAAUGUUUAGCAGCAGUCUGGGGUUUCGAGAAACUUGAUACAUAUCUACAUGGUUCUCGGAGGUUAUUUGAAGGUGAUCAUGCUGCCAUUACUUCAUUAUUGAAGAAAAGAACCUUGUUGGUUGUACUACUCGGUGGGCUUUGAAUCUUCAGAUAUAUGAUUUUGAUGUUGUUCAUCACCCCGAAAGUUUUAUGGGUAAUGUUGAUGCCCUUUCUCAAGCUCCUUUUCCUUUUCCACUCUCUUCUCAUAUUUUUGAUGAGCCUGUUGUUCCAGCAUCUGUGGAUUUUCUAAAUGAGGAUUCUGUGCCGUCAACGGUUGCUGUACUUGAUGUUUAAUGUCCACAAGGUGCAAAGCAAGAUCUACCUUCUCUUGACAAAGUUCACGAGGCUCAAAAGCUUCAGCCAUGGAUUCAAAGGCUUCAAGAUGGGUUUAAGAAUCUUGCAUCAUUUGUUGAUGACUUGCCAUUCUGGCAUUUACAAUGUCAAUAUUGCCUUCAAGAUGGCUUUCUUUAUUUUUUGGGGACGAAUCCUGGUAAUCCUUUAUGGGUGGUGGUGCCUUCAAUCUUUAUUCCACGGUUUCUUCAUACAUACCAUGAUUCUUUUGUUCUAUGUGGGAAUAUGGGACAUUCUCAUGUGACCAAGAAGUUGCACAGGUCUUUCUAUUGGCCGAACAUGUGACAUGAUAUUAUCUGGUAUGUGCAUAGUUGCAUUUAAUGCCAAGUUCGUAAUACUCUCCCUCGUGCUAUGGAAGGACAGUUGGAGUCAAUUGCAGUUUCCCAUCCAUUUGAGUUAGUGGCAUUUGAUCUUAUAGGACUUUUUCCACGAUCGACUGCUGGCAAUGAGUAUGUUAUUAUUGCUUUUGACUAUUUGACUCAUUGGGUAGAAAUUGGUGCUCUUGCUAGUGCCUUUACAACCGCUAUUGAAUACUUCCUCUUUAAUCGAGUGGUGUUCUAGCAUUCUUGUCUGGAGCAGAUUCUUUUAGAUAAUGGUCCCGCAUUUAUGGCUGAAGCAUUUCAUGUUUUGACGUCUCGAUUGGGGAUAUGCCACAUUUUCAUAAGUGUUUAUCAUCUAUAGUCAGAUGGUUUGGUGGAACGGCUCAUUUGAACAUUCAAAGGAAUAAUUGCGAAAUAUGUGAACUUUCAACAUUCAGAUUGGGAUGGUUAUUUGCCAUCUGUUCGGUAUACAUAUGUUACAGAGGUGUAAAGUUAUGUUGGUGCUUCACAAUAUAAACUUUUACAUGAUCAUAAUCCAAUAUUACCAACGGAGCUAGGUUUGCCUUCACAAUUGCCAGGAGCUGCCGAUGCUAGGUCCUAAGAUCAAUAUUUGACGAGCAUUCUUCCACUUGUUCGAGCAGAGUCUGCCAAACACUUAGGCCACGUACAAGUGGGACAACAACAGAGCUACAAUGCCCACCAUCGUCCACUCUUAGUGUUAAUCCGUUUUCCCCAUCUUACGGUACGUGGUUUAUCUAAGGGGUUCCUUGCUCAGUGGAAAGGUGUAAGGAACCAGCUCCCUGAGAUGUCGUAGGCUAAAGGAUCCCCGAAAGCAUGACUGAAAUGACAAAGAGUUCAUCAGAUGGGACCGAGUCUAAGAUUGAGUCUAAAACCAACUCUGAGACCGAGUUCGAGAUAGAGUCCGGGAUAGAGUUCGAGGCCAACUCAGAGACUAAGUUCGAGACCGAGUUCGAGACAAAGUCCGAGAUCUAAGAUUGGGUCUGAGACCGAGUCUGAGGUCGAGUCCGAGAUCGGGUUUGAGAUCAAAUCUGAGACCAAGUUUGAAGUCAGGUCCGAGAUUGAGUCUGAGAUUGAGUCCAAGACCGAGUCCAAGUACUAAUACAGGUUAAGGGGUGAAAGCCCAAAGUGUGCACCUCCCAGUGGGGGGGGGGGGGGGGGGGCUGUAGGGGGUUCCAAAAGUAUAGUAGGGAUAGUGAGGUCUAGGAACCAGUUUUGAAAAAACUCUCCAGUGGUGCUUCCAAACUGACUUGAGGUUGAGAUUGGAGCCAAGGGCUUUGGGUGGGAGUGAGCAUGGACUCGGGUGGUGCCGGAGGGGCCACCCAAGGAAGUGCUCAAGAAUAGCUCCCACUCCCGAAAGGGAAACCGACUAUAGUGCUCCUGGCUCAUGUGGAGUGGUGCCCCACUUGAGUACCUUAUGGCUCAUUUGUCCUUGCCCUUCUUAGGGGUUUAGGCCUUCCCUUUGGGAUGGAAGUGGGGGGGUAAAGGUACCCAUACCAGGCUGUUAGGCCAUGGUGUUUCGCCCUAGCAUCCCGAAACAUGUGUUUCACUCAAGACUUGGGAUUUAGAGGGUCCCAUGAUCAAGUCUUGUGGUACUAAGGGAUGUUAGGAGCCUGGAGGCUUGGUGUGCUUGGCUGCUUGUGCCUGCAGAGAAUGUAACCGAACCUUAAGUCCAAUCUAACUCGGGAAGGGGGAUUGGGAGAAAUUUGUAGAUGGAUGGCUAAUGCUCCAUUGCUCAUGCAGUGAGUAACUUAAACCAAACAAGACCAAGUAGGAGCUGGUACCAUAGGCGGGAACCUUGGUGAGGGAACUUAGCAAAAGCCAAGGCAGUGUUGGUCGGAUAGACGAGGUAAGCUGGCAAAUUGGAAAGGAAAAAUUUAUGGCUUACAAUUUGGUAUCGGAGCCUUUUCCUCAAUUCUAGUGAAAGAUAGAGGCGGAUUGCUGGGAGAUGGCAAAGGUAGGGUGGAAACGAACCAAGGCAGAGAUGGAACCUCCUCCAGAGCUAAAGCCUCCGGUUGAACAAGAGGCUAUGGAUGAGGAAUCCUUGCAUAAGGAGGACUCUAAUGAGGAAACUUCCAAACAGGAGUCCGAUGGUGAGGUUCAGUCAUCCAAGGCUCGAUUGGACGUUUUAGAAGGACAAUUGGCACAGACCAAUGCCCUGUUAGAGACUCUUGUACGCAAAUUAAAGCGUAAUGAGAAGCGGAAGAAAAGGCAAAAGACUACGGAUGCUGGCAACGAAGAAGGUGCAGACCCUUUGGCAAGGACUGAGGCAAAACCAAAUAAGGUCGAACAAACCGAAGUGGAAUCAGUCCCUCAGGCAAUUCCCAAGUACAAACCAAAGCCCCCACCAUCUUCAAGGGAGUGAACGACUAUAAAGUGGUGGAGGAUUGAUUUUACGAUAUGGAGGAUUACUUUUGAGCAUUGCGGUUACCGAGCUCAUAGAAGGUCCCAUGUGCAAAACCAUACUUGGCAGAUAAUGCCAAGUCUUGGUGGAGAACGACAGAGGCCAACGAAGGACUGGUGGCCACUUGGGGAAUGAUGAAGGCGAGGAUCCGCACAACUUACAUUCCUCCGAAUGCUACUUUGCAUCUAAGAGACAAACUGAGUAAGCUGAAGUAGACUGGAACCAUUCAGGAGUAUGUGAAUGGGUGUAAGGUCCUAAGUUUGGACUUUCCGGGAGGUCACCUAGCCCAAUACUAUUCAAACUUAAUGACGCUUAACCCCAAGUAUCUUAAGACCCUUAACUGAUUAGAAAAAAGGGUGCACUCUUGUUCAUGGGCCCUUUCCCUCUAUAUUUGAACCUUAUGGAUCGUAUCUCGAGUCGUUCCCUUUGGUUGUUUAUAAUGGGUUUAUGGCAAAGAGGAUACUUGUCACGAACAUGAAAGAUAUGGAUGCGUUCCAUGCCUUCAUAUCAGGCUUGCAAACCUGGGCUUGCGGUGAAGUGAUGCGUUGGAACCAACCAACUACAAGGAAGCAUUGGAUGCGGCCAUCAAGGUGCAUUUCAACGAUAUCUGUGAAAGGGGAACACGUUGGGGUUGGGGUCUAUGUUUAGCAAAAGGGCUAAAUCAAGGGGAACGUAUAGCAAAGGGAAAUUCAAGAAGAGUUUCUCUAAGAAUGAGUCCUCGAGGUUCCAGAAAGGCAAAUCCAGUGGCCAGCGAGCAAGUACGUAGGGGAGUCAAGCAAAAAAAAACAAACCCACGGAUAAGAAGGUCAAGUCAGUUAGCAGCGUGGGAAACAAUAUAUGUUACAACUAUGGUGAAGCAGAACACUUUUCAAGGGAAUGUCCUUACCCGAAGAAGGCCAAAGCCAAUAUGGUUAUUAAAUCGGGUGAAAUCCAAACUAAGGUAUGUGAUCUAGUCCCUAAUUCAAAGUUACUUAUUACACGAGUAACUUUGGUAGAGAGUCGUUCGUAACAUCUACUAACCCUCCGAGGGAAGCUCGGAGGUAGCUUUGUUAAGAUCCUUAUUGACACGGGUGCUUCGGAUAAUUUUGUGGUUGCAGACAUAGUCCGGCAAGCUGGACUAAUGGUGCAGCGGCUGGGCAAACCAAGGACUAUAGAGUUUAUUCAAGGUAGCUAAAGCACCAAUGAGGUACUUCAACAAGCGAAAGUCGAACUAAGGACAUGGAAAGUAGACAUGGAUUUCACCAUGUUGGACAUGGCGGGAUUUGACGUGAUCUUCGGGAUGGAUUAGUUCAAUCGGUUUAUGGUAGCCCUGCAUGGACAAGGUAGGAACCUUGUGGUAGUAGCGAAUGCCUAAGGAAGAAGAUCCAAGGUGGAGGCCCAUGAUCUAAAGGUAGGGCAAUUGGCAAGGUCAAAGAUUCCUGUUUAAACCUGGUGUCCACGAGAGGACAACUCACUAAAGGAACCAAGGCAGCAUUUCUGUGCUUACUCUCGGUGAAGAGUGACAAAAAGAUAGAAACGAAAGAAGUACCUUUAGUGAUCCAGCGGGUGUUGAACCAAUUCCAGGAUACCAUGCCAGAGGAGCUUGCCCCCCACACGACCGAUAGAACAUAAGAUUGAGCUGAUCGAGGGUGCUGAGGCGGUGGUCUGUCCCCCCUAUCAUUUGAACGAAAAAAAACUCGAGGAACUUAAGUGCCAGUUGGUGGACAAAAGGUAUAUUAGGUUGAGCAAGUCGCCGUAUAGGGCACCAGUGUUAUUUGUGAAAAAGAAAGAUGGAUUUAUGCGCAUGUGCAUAGACUACCAGUUGCUAAGAAGAACAAAUACCCUUUGCCAAGGAUUGAGGACCUGUUCAAUAGGUUGGGAAAGGCAAAAUACUUCUCGAGGAUUGACCUAAUGUCAAGAUACUACUAGAUCAGGGUAACAAAGGAAAAUGUCGAGAAGACAAUCUGUCGAACAAGGUAUGGGAGCUUUGAGUUUCUAGUGAUCCCCUUUGGGCUAUGCAAUGUGCCGGCAACAUUUUCGGCAUUGAUGAACCACAUUUUUAUACCCUAUCUGAAUCACUUUGUCGUCUAUCUCGUCUAUAUUGGCGACAUCCUGAUCUAUAGUGAAAUGUUAAAGGAGCAUAUUGAACACUUGACGAAGGUGUUUGAGAAACUAAGGGAACACCAGCUGUAUGUUAAAGAGAGCAAAUGUGACUUUGCUUAACAAAAGGUAAAGUUUUUUGGGUAUAUGGUGGGCAAAGAUGGGCUCAAGGUGGACCCUAAAAAGGUCCAAGCAACCUAGGAUUGGGAGUGACUAUCGAAUGUACACGAGUUAAGGGCAUUUUUAGGGCUAUGCAACUACUAUCGAAAGUUUAUCAGACACUAUUCGAAAAUAACCCUACCCUUAACAGACCUAACGGGAAAAGAGAAGAUGGUAUGAACAGUGGAAUGCGAGGCGGCAUUUAUCCACCUCAAAUGGAAGUUGAGGAAGGCUCCCAUGUUGGCGUUACCAGACUUUGGUAAAGGCUUUGAGGUAGAAACGGAUAUUUCAGACUUUGCGUUUGGUGCAAUUUUGAAGCAAGACAACCAUCCAGUAGCGUUCUUCUCGAAGAAGUUGGACAAAGCUCAACAGAAGUGGCUUGCCCACGAGAAGGAAUUGUUUGCGGUGGUCAAGGUGCUCAAGGAGUGGCGACACUACUUUGGGAGACACUUCAAAGUUUACACAGAUAAUGUGGCAACGAAACACUUCUUGUCAUAGCCCGACCUGAGAGGGAAACAGGGUCGGUGGGCCAAUGCUUUGGCCGAGUUUGAUUGCAAGAUUCUGUACAAGCUUGGGAAGAGCAACAUCGUGGCAGAUGCGCUAAGUCGAAAAGCGAGCUUGAAGUUGGUGAUAUCCAGCACGACAGCAACCUUUUGGGAUGAUGUGUGGAUAGCAUAUGAGAACAAUGGUUUAGCACAAGAAAUGUUGCUGAGGAAUCUAGAGGCAUGAGAAGCUCACUAAAAAGAUGAGCUGCCAACGAAAGAGAAAACAGGCUAUGCAGAAUGCAAUAGACUCAUCUAUUACAAACAAACGAGGGUGUAUGUUCCAAAAGGGGAACUAAGGAAGGUAGCUUUAAAAGAGUGUCAUAAUGGACCUUUUGCAGGACACGGUAGAGUGCCCAAGACGAUAGGCUUACUCAAGAGGAAGUAUCACUGGCCAGAUAUGGCUAAGGAUGUCCAAGACUAUGUAAAAACAUGUUUAACAUGUCAAUAGGUCAAAGCCAUAACUAAGGUUAGUGGGGGCUUGUUACAAAGCAUCCCAAUUCCAGAUCGUCCAUAGAAAUAUCUUACGAUGAACUUCAUCACGGGACUCCCCCUAAGUGAGGGGUUUGAUGCGAUAUUCGUGAUGGUGGACCAAUUUUCGAAGAUGGCACAUUUCAUACCCACCACAACGGAAGUGGAUGCGGAAGGUGUGGCAAAGUUGUUCUUCAAACAAGUAGUUCGAGUGCAGGGAAGGCUGGAAGAGAUCAUCUCAGAUCGAGAUAAGAUCUUCACUAGUAGAUUCUGGAGAACUCUCCUGGAACAGUAUCGCACCAAGUUGAAAUUCAGCACAGCCUAUCAUCCACAGACAGGUAUGGGGUAUUAAGUCAAGUUUGAUGGCACUAACACUUCUUGACAGACAGACAAAUGGAAAGGGUGAAAACACAGUUGGAGGAUUAUUUGCGAUGUUAUGUCUCAGGAGACCAAACUGAUUGGGUAAGUCAUUUGGGACUUGCGGAAAUGUGUUAUAACAAUUCACCACAUUCGAGUAUCGGGGUGAGUCUAUGGGAAGUCAUCAAUGGGCGAGCUAUUGAAGGUCCUAUGGAGCUUGGCGUGGCCGAGUACCAUGGAGAAUUACCCACAAUGGAGGCAUUUAUAGCGGAAAGACUUAACAUUUGGAAUCUAGUGAGGGAUUCCUUGGAACGGGCUCAACAAAGGCAAACCAAAUACGCGAACCAGAAGCAUCGGGAUAUAGAGUUCCAAGCUGAGGAGAAGGUGUGGCUGAACACCAAGAACUUUAGGCUGCCAAGUGGGAUCAACCAGAAGUUGACCCAAAGGUAAAAAUGCAUUUAUUCCUGGAAAUGAAUUGAUCUUGAGUUCCUUAAGCAGGUUUGCGGGGCUUUACGAGAUUGAAGCACGAAUCGGUAAAGUGGCUUACCGUCUCUGACUUCCUCGAGAGAUGGGGAAGAUACACCUAGUGUUUCACGUGAACUUACUCAAGCCGUGCUUUGAGGAUCCGCUUCAUAAGGACCAAGUAAGACCUUUACCUGAGGUUAUAUAAGGGGAGGAGGAAUACGAAGUCGAGGCCAUCCUUAAUGCGCGCAAGAGCAAGUGACAAGGACGCGAGGUGAGAGAGUUCCAUGUGAAGUGGAAAGGAUUUCCACACUGCGAAGCAACAUGGGAACCAAAGGAGAACCUAGCGAACGCGUGAGAUCUAGUGGAGGAAUUUCUGCAAGGCAGAACUCUAUGUACUUAUGCAAAGUUCAAUUAAAGUAUCAAUUUGCGAAGUUGAGCAAUGGCAUAUGUUGGGACCCGAAGGCGUGCCAAAGGUAAGCUAAUUAGCAUGGGUUAGCUAGGUUGACCACGCAUAAGAAACUUUGCCAACUCUCUACGGGGAUGUCAAAUCCAUAGACGUAUUCUAUGGAGGUUAGGUUCGAGUCCCAACCCCCUAGUAAAGCAAGGUUGGGUUCAAGUCCCAACCCCAUACUAGGGUGUGGUGAGGUGAGGGGUAUAGGGACACCUAUAUUCCAUUGUCAUGGACUCUUGGCCAAGGAGGCUAACUUAGGCACACUACUAAGUGGGGGGAUGCCCCUGGAGAUAUGGUCAACAAGUCGUAGCAUAAAAAGAGAUGUUCGAUAUGGGCAUCGAACUUCUUUUAUGGGUGGUGGAGUUGUAAGGAACCAACUCCCCAAGGUGUCGUAGGCUAAAGGAUCCCCGAAAGCAUGACCGAAAUGACAAAGAGUUCAUCAAAUGGGACCAAGUCUGAGAUCGAGUCCAAGACCGACUCUUAGACCGAGUUCGACAUAGAGUUCGGGAUCGAGUCCGAGGCUGACUCGAAGACUGAGUUCGAGACAGAGUCCGACACCGAGUCUGAGGUCGAGUCUGAAGUCGAGUCUGAGAUCGGGUCCGAGAUCGAGUCCAAUAUCAUGUCCGAGACCGAGUCCAAAGUCGGGUCCAAGACCGAGUCUGAGAUUGAGUUCGAGACCGAGUCCAAGUACUAAUACAAGUCAAGGGGUGAAAGCCCAAAGCGUGCGCCUCCCAAGGGGGGGGGGGUUGCAAGGGGUUCCAAAAGUAUAGUAGGGAUAGUGAGGUCUAGAAACCAGUUUUGAAGGAACUCCCCAGUAGUGCUUCCAAACUGACUUGAGGUUGACACUAAAGCCGAGGGGCUUUGGGUGGGAGUGAGCAUGGACUCAGGUGGUGCCAGAGGGGCCACCCAAAGAAGUGCUCAAGAGCAGUUCCCAUUCCCGAAAGGGAAACCGACUGUAGUGCUCUCGGCUCAUGUGGAGUGGUGCCCCACUUGAAUACCUUGUGGCUCAUUUGUCCUCGCCCUUCCUAGGGGCUUGGGCCUUCCCUUCGGGAUGGAAGUGGGGGCGUAAAGGUACCCAUAUCGGGCCGUUAGGCUACAGUGUUUCGCCCCGGCAUCCUGAAGCAUCUAUUUCACUCAAAACUUGGGAUUUAGAGGGUCCCAUGAUCAAGUCUUGUGGUACCAAGGGAUGUUAGGAGCCUGAAGGCUUGGUGUGCUUGGCUGCUUGUGCCUGUAGGGAGUGUAGCCAAACCUUAAGUCCAAUCUAACCUGGAGAGGGGGAUUAUGAGAGAUUUAAGAAUCCGUGGAUGGAUAGCUAAUGCUUUGUUGCUUGUGUAGUGAGUAUCUGAAACCAAGUAAAACCAAGUAGGAGUUGGUACUAUAAGCAGGAACCUUGGCGAGGGAACUUAGCAAAAACCAAAGUAGUGUUGGUCGGAUAGACGAGGUAAGUUGGCAAAUUGGAAAGGAAAAAUUUAUAGCUUACAAAAGGACCAUAUCAAGUGUUGUGGCAAGUUUAAUCCGAACCACUUGCUCUUGUAUAUAAACUAAGGCUUUUGGGCUAAUUGAUAUGCAUAUUUCUUGUAUUUCCUUUCCACAUUCCAUGCACACACACACACACACACACAUUCAAGCAUUAACAUCACCUAUCGUAAAAUCUCUUAAGAAUGUCCUCAAAGGCACCCUCCUUCUCAAGUGCAAAAAUAACUUCACACAACUCCACACACACACAUAUACAUACACAUAUAUAUACAUAUACACAUAUCCCGGCAAUGGCUGUAGCGGGCAUCCUCAGCUAUUUUAGCAAGACUCUUUUGCUUUUCUUCUUACCAUAGAUUAUUAACUUUGUUUACUCCAUUCCACAGGUAAGUUAGCCAUAUAAUCUUUUGGUUUUUGUGCUAAGUAACUUGCCUCGCAGCUCUUCAAAUGGGUGCCAUGUCCGAGACAUCUUCCAAACCAUCUCAAGAACAAGUUAACCAGAUUCAUAUCCUUACUGCCUGUUAAAAGCCCUGUUUUCGGCUCAAAGCUACAUCACAAAAGUCCUACAAGUUAGCGAUUGUAGACGCUCCAACAAGCAGUUGUGUGAGAUAAAUUGAGAAGGCGUGUCCUUGCUGGUAAUCAGCGUCUGAGCUACUCACGAUUUGCAUCAUGUUGUGAAUCAAAAUCUGUAAAACAUCAUGUUCUGGUCACAGAAAAAGAACAAAGAAAAGAAAGAACAAUGCACAUACUGCAGAAGAUAUCACAAGAGUUUGCCCAACGUCCAGUCCAUUCACGCCGGCGAGAAUGUUGACAGCGUUGGUGCAAAACACGGCUAACAGGCCCAUGUAAACUUUGUAUAGCACGCCUAACAAGUGUAAAAACUGUUCAAGAACAAAUCGAACCAAAAGAAAAGAAGAAAAAUCUUACCCAAGUCGAGCACCUCCAUUUCGAGGUAGACUCGAAGAGGUUUCGGAAUAACAAUUGUCGUGUGCCCUGCGUAUCCCAUCAGUAAGGGAAGAGCAGCGAAAGAAGGAAGCAAAAGUUUCCUGAGAGCAAAAGAAACACUCGAAUUUGUUUCGUGAGGAGAUCAUGAAACUUACACGCGCCAUGGGACGUCGAGGACGUCGUCCACAAAGCCGAGAAGAAUCAUAAAUAGUAUAGAUGUGAGAGCCGCAUUGUAAAAUCGAGGAAAAUCCAGCUGACGCUUCUAGGAUGCGGGGGCGUCGGGCGCCAGCUCCUCCGCCACAUUGUCUCCACUCGUAAACUACACGAGAUUUCUCUCUUUGAAUCAAAUGCCCAGGGCUUGCGAGUCGCUGUGAUGGCUGUAGUGGAUUCCAAGUCCAUCUUUGCGAAGGAAAAGAACCCGGUACAUGUCUGUUUUUAUUUGCCUUUUCUUUAAACGAUGAAAGCUCAGCUGGAUUGAAUGCGCGAGCCGUUCGCGAAGAAGAUUGAUGGAACUCUAGCAGCUGCGAUAAGAACCAUCACAGAAGAAACUGGUAAAACUUUCCUUUCAGCUUUUUUGAUGGAUGAUCAUACAACUUUUUUUUCUUGUUUAUCCUACAGGUCGUCCUUUGGUUGUAGCUGACUGUACCGCGAGUAUAAAAAUUGGACAAGCACUUGCAGAGAUGGCGGACUUGAAUUGCUGCAUUGUUCUUGCGAACAAGAAGCCUCUCACCAGCUCGUUUGUAAGAUCGUUCUUUUCUUCUUUCUUCUUUUUUCCUUGACCCAUGGCUGCAGAAAGUUUACGAUAGGAUUGCAGCACUGAAUUGACGUUAUCGCUGUGAAUCAACAGUUGAGCAAGAACUAUUUGUACGUACAUUUUACGAACAUUUCUCAAGCAGGUCGGUGCUGCUCUGCCAGUCAUAGCAACUUUGAACCGUCUGCUAAAUUCCGGAGAUUCGAUCAAGAAAAUUGUUAGUGCUCUCAGUGGUUUGUCCUUUCAUUCUCCUAAAAAUUUGCCACUUCUAACGUCCUUUGUCAGGCACUCUCGGCUUUGUAAUGAGUCGGUUGGAGUAUGGUGAAUCGUUUAGUGAUAUUGUGAGACAAGCGAAAGAGCUUGGUUACACCGAGCCAGGUAGCUAUCUUUCUUUUCUAUUUUUCAUGUAGUUUCAGGUAUCGGACUCUAGAACACGCACUAACACCGAACAUCGUGGGAUGCAGCCGACAUUGUACCAUGGACAGGGAUUGGAAUAAAACAGACGUAAAGACAGAAUCACAUCUGCCGCCCAUAUUUACUUUAGGAGGGACUUUAGGCUCUAAUGAAAUACUGAGUUGCCUCAAAUAAAGAAUUCAGCGAAUAAAGCCUCAAGCGUGAUCGCAAGUCACACCAUCUAUAUAAAAAAUGCCAGUGAACCGUAAUGAAAGCGGGCGGGAGGCGGUUUAGGAGAUAAAAUGCUGUGAUCACAAAAUCGAACUUUUUAAUAAGCCUUCCUAUUCUUGCUUCAUAGAAGGGAGAGAACGUAGGAGACAGAUUUCUGCACAGCGAAAUGUCGUCCCAGCGAAUGUUUAUCGAGCGCCUGCGUCGCGAGCUCUUUGGAAUCGGCCAGUCCGGUCCCAAUCCUCUCGCUCUCAUGCUCCAGGAGACGAUCAGGCUCCUCUCGGCCGAGCUCUACCAGAAGGACAUCCAUUUCCUGUCCGAACUCCUCCAGGUACUUUGCUCGAACUUGGUUCUGUCCCUGACAAACAUGAGCGUCUUAGAACGCUGAGGACAACACUUACCAUUCGUCCGUGGAGCCGAGCAUCGAAAUCUAUCUCACAAAGACCGACGUAACUGGCACUGGAGCAGCUGCCACGCUGCUGCUCUUGAACAACGAAGUUGGUUUCUCGGAAAAGAAUAUAGAGUCCUUGUGCGCCGCUGGUCAGUCCACAAAGAAAGGAAAGAAGUCUCAAGGAUACAUUGGCGAGAAAGGUGAGAUAAUUCUUUCUUACCUCUCCUCUCUAGCCGUGGUAACGUCUCUUGCUCGUACAGGAAUUGGGUUUAAGAGCGUUUUUCUCGUCACCAAGCAGCCGUAUAUAAUCAACAAUGGCUUUCGUAUUCGUUUCAACGAAGAGCCCCACAACGAGGCCAAGCUCGGGUAUAUUGUCCCGGAAUGGGUCGACUGUCCUACAGACGCUGUGCUGCAGAAGGUCUGUAGCAAGGUGGUCUUCCUGCAACGGUGAUCAUCCUUCCCUUACGUCAGGAAAAGAUUUCGGAGGUGGCAAAGCAGCUUACUCAAAUCCCAGCGGAGACGCUCCUCUUCCUAUCGAAGAUACGCAUGCUCUCCAUCUACGAUCAGCAGUCGCGGCCUCCCACGGAACUGGUUCUCUCCAGAUCUGUGGAGAUGACAACGUCAAAGAAUGGAAGCGUGGAAACGAGCACAACUUUUCUCACAGCUAGUAACGGACGGAAUGGCACUCAGCACAGCAACUACUACAUGUUUAAGCAGACUUUGAAAGUACCUGAGGAGGCCAAGGUUGAAAAGCGAAAAGAUGUCGAUAGCUGGAUGAUCACUCUAGCCUUUCCGGUGGAUGAUCGUAUCUCGAGCAGCUGCAGCAUUGGCGAUAUCUUCUCGUUCCUGCCUUCCGAUAUCCACUCGGGCCUGCCGUUUCUUAUCAACUCGGACUUUUUGCUCGUUUCCUCCCGUGCGACGCUCCUCUUUGACAGCUCCUGGAACCAGGGGAUCUUUCGCUGUGUUCCCGAGGUUUUCUACAACGCCUUCGAGCUUCUCCUCAACACCACGGCGUUUGGACUGCAGAGUAUACUGUCAGUAGCACGCAUGGCAAUGUACAAGUACGUACCUGUGAAUGUUUGCCGCAACUCGUACCUCGAGAGAGUCCGCAACGAUAUCUUGUCCAAGCUGAAGGACAACAACGUCAUUCUUUGCGCCUCGGACGUCGGCCGUGCACCACCGAGCGGGCAGCUUUGCAAGCCUGCUCUUGCGAGAAAAAUCGCCCCCAGCUUCCGAGAGCUCCUCAAAGCCGCACCGAAGUGUCCCAGGUUCUUGCGAGGAAGUCCCUCGUACAUAGUGGACAGCACGCUGCAGGAGAGCUACGUCUCGGUGCUGAGACUCCUGGGAGUCCCAGAUAUGAGCAACGAUGAAUAUCACCAAAGCCUCGACUCUGAAGACUGGAUGAGAUCGCUCCCCGACGAUGCAUAUGUCAAGCUGCUGGUGUUCCUGUCCUCCAAGUCGUCAACUUUGAGAUCCCUCAAGUUUCUCAAGUAUCGAGGCUCCGAUGGUCGACUUCAGUUGGCAAGCAUGGAUGAUCUCGCGCGAAACGAUGGCAGAUCCAUAUACUGGGAUUCUGGUCAUAGAGCUACCGCUUGGCUCGCUGGUUGGACAGAGGUGUUUCAACGUUGGCUAACUUUCAACUUCGUUCCAUCGGCCUGCGCUGCAAAAAUCCGGCAGCACUCGGUGUUAGAGAACUGGUUGGAGAGAACCCCCUUCAGCGUGAGCGAACUGACAGCAUGCUCACUCGCUCGUCAGGUUCUUCGAGCAGUCACUGCGAACUCCUCAGAUGCAAAGCUUGCUGUUCUAGCGAUGCACUUCCUGUUCGACCUGUACAGAAACGACCGCAGCUCGUACACAUCCAUCAGCAACCAAAAGCGUAAUGUACCAAUCGUCGAGAAUGACGGAGCUGUGAGUCCUUAUGGUGCGAGUUAUGUUUCAACGCGUCCAUUGUUGCUACCGGCGGCUUGUGGAGCGAAGUGGCCGCUCUUGCUCCCGUCUGAUGUGUGGAGACGCGGCGUUCGAAAAUUGUCAGAAGAGUAUAUGGAGUCAGCAACGGUCGAUCUCUCCGACCCCGACGUGCGAACCGAGUUUGUGAAUUUUCUGAAGGAGCAGUUCCUGGCUACGGACAUCCCCGCCUUUGAUCCGGUGAACGAGGCCCUUCCUCCGCAUUAUGUUGGUAACGUCGCAGCGAGCUCGUUGUUACUGAAGUGGAUUAAAUCCAGGCACUGCAAUGCACCCGCUUUCGCUUCCAGUAUUAAGAAUACCAAGUGGUUGAAGACGAGACACGGAUACUGCUGCCCAACCGUUGCAUUCCUGCCGGUGCAAGAGCUGCUUAAAGUCUUGAAAGUCGAGGACGUUCCGUUCNNNNNNNNNNNNNNNNNNNNNNNNNNNNNNNNNNNNNNNNNNNNNNNNNNNNNNNNNNNNNNNNNNNNNNNNNNNNNNNNNNNNNNNNNNNNNNNNNNNNNNNNNNNNNNNNNNNNNNNNNNNNNNNNNNNNNNNNNNNNNNNNNNNNNNNNNNNNNNNNNNNNNNNNNNNNNNNNNNNNNNNNNNNNNNNNNNNNNNNNNNNNNNNNNNNNNNNNNNNNNNNNNNNNNNNNNNNNNNNNNNNNNNNNNNNNNNNNNNNNNNNNNNNNNNNNNNNNNNNNNNNNNNNNNNNNNNNNNNNNNNNNNNNNNNNNNNNNNNNNNNNNNNNNNNNNNNNNNNNNNNNNNNNNNNNNNNNNNNNNNNNNNNNNNNNNNNNNNNNNNNNNNNNNNNNNNNNNNNNNNNNNNNNNNNNNNNNNNNNNNNNNNNNNNNNNNNNNNNNNNNNNNUCGAGGUACAAAAGGCUUACACAGUGUGGCGUGAGCUGGUGGAGGCGAAACUAGUCUCGUCACGACCAACUUCGACGCUGUAUCUGAAAGCUUUCCGCGCGAGCAGCUGCGUUCCUUCAAUACCAGCCUGCGAAAAGAACGCAGCCACCGUCAAGCUUCUUCCGCCUGCAAAGACGGUCAUGGUUGAUCAGCUAGAGCUGGAACGUCUCUUUGGAAACACUAAUCCUCGUCCGUGGGUGGCGUGGUAUCCAGCCAGCCAGGAGAUCAACACGCAGGAGCUAUAUAAAGUCUACUCCUGGCUGGGGGUCAAGACAAUCUCCGAAUGUGCUGAAUCGGAGACGAACACGAGCUGCAUGAGCCUCUCACUCGGAAGGAAACUGGUUUGGGACAAACACUCUCCGUCAAGGAGCGACAAACCAUAGUGCAGGAACUGCUGCGUCUAAAGGAGGUGGAACUCGAAACGAGCCUGAAAGUUCACUGGACUCUUCGCGUUGGAGACACUACACGUCACGCGGUCUCGGAGAGGAUGCUCUACUGGAACAGGGAGAGGCAGGAACUAGCCUAUGUCGACGAGGGGCAAAGGAAGAAGAGGAACACAGAGUUUGGGACCGAGUUCGCGAGGAUCAUAGCGGAGGGUCUGCUUUUCCACCACCGGUACUUGAUUCCAGGCAUGGAGAGGCAUCUGAGCAUGCUGGCAUUCUCUAAGUUCGACGUCAUGGAGGUGGACAACAUGCUCAUCAAGCACAACAUGCGGCUCUAUAGCGAGGACGAGACGUUUCUAAAGACCAGGGUGAUUGUGGAUCCAUCUAAAGCUGACGCUGAGAAGAACUUACAUGGCGGUGAAGCAGUCGCAGAGAUGGAACCGUUUGUGCUACCGGAUGUUCCUGAAACGGAGGAAGAUCAGUUGGAGAGAGAUUCAAGCAUUUCCAAACCUCCAGCAGACUCGAGACCGACCACCAUUGUCGUCGCUUCAAGUUCUUACUCUCCAGCUUUUGUCGCUGCUACUCCGAGACCACCACCUCUGGACAAUCGGAAAUACCUCCUGGAGCAAGCUUUCCAAGUCUUAUCAUCGCUGGACGAGAUCAAAGACGAGGCGUGGACGAUGGAGCUGCCAGACGAGGUUUUUUAACUGAGAGAUGAUCAGCGUGUGGCGAGAGACGUACCUUCCAACAGUUCGGCGCCUUUUGGACUAUCCACCCGAGGAAGGUUACCUCAAGCCCGGGAUGAGAACUGGCAUCUCUCUGGACAAGAUGCUCAUAGCGGCAUUUCUCGACUUUCCGGGAGUGAAAGGAUCGAGCCACCAUCACUUGAGCGUCGUUGGAGCAGCGUGCCUCAACCUGUGCCUGGCGAUGGAGCUCGUCAAGCUAGAUGACAAUCACCACGCCGGAGUAAACGGCGGUUACAAGCUGACGAACACCUCCCUGCUCGCGGCGUGCUUCCAUGCCUGUGGGCUGGAUGAAUCUGUGCUGCGCAGCUCGAAUUCGGCAGCCGUGAGCGACCUCGUGGCGGCGAGCGUCGCGAGAGCCCUACUGGCUGUGGGGUUUUGCGCCUACGACGAUGGAUUGGGAGAAGUGAGGCGGAUCUACCAGGAGGUGUUCCUCGCCGCCCUCGGCGAUGAUCUCGGCUGAAAUUUUCAUGCGAAAUAUGCUAGGCGAGAGCCCUAAAAACUCUCCCGCCCAAGUUUUCAAACACUUUCAAGAAUAUAGCCAGCAUAUUCGUUACUUUGAGCUAGACAGUCCCUGGAUGAAAGAUAUAAGACUGAUAAGAAUUUUGCCUGGAAAAUGACAAGAGAGGCUCACCUGGAAACUCAGCAGCAGCAUCUUCCAAACCAUCUCAGUUGCUCAAAGAUAGCCAAAUUCAAUGUCGCAGACAUUGCAGUUGUACAGUUGCGAAUGUAAUCGAUGUCUCUUGGAGGCGUUCAUUUUUGUGAAGAAGGUGAUAGGCAAAGAACAAAGGCAAAGGCCUGAGGGGCUGGCACUUCCAAGAUGCUAGCCCAGUCAUGGAAUAAAGUGAUUCUUGUGUGAAAGAGAGUGGCUCAGAAUGCCUGUGCCGUAGCUGAAUGGCCCUGCGACUUUGUUGCUACCACCCAGGAUCUUGUUCCAGGUGUUGUCGAAAGUUAUAGCUGGAAGAAGCACAGAUUAUUGCUGAGAUAGUCUUUAAAAUUAGAGUUUAAUGUUAGAUUUUCUUGUACUUUCGGAAAAACUAAAUUGAUAAUUUCUACUCCGCCUUUGCAGCAACCAGCUUCACAAUAAUUUUUUGAUGACCCUAAUGGCUUUAUUUUCAGAAUAAAAAACUAAAGCAAUAAAUGGUAGCAAUUUUUAUGAUUUCUAAAAAUAAAUGUUUACUCCAUUAUUUAUACUAUGUUCUAGCAUUUUUUGUUUAUAGAGAUUAUAUUAUUAUAAUUAUUAUAUGUAUGCAUGUAUUUAUCUUUAGAAUAAAAGAACUAAAGCAAUAUAGAGAUUAUAGAGCUGUGACAUUUAAAUAAAAUUUGAAUAAAUUUGACAAUUAUUUAAUCCAGGUAUAUUUCUGGUUCACCAAUAUAAUGCAAUCAAUGACAGUCCAUUAUUAGCUAUACAAGUAAGGUUUAUACCAAAAUUAAAGAAAUUAAAAUAAAAUAAAAGAAUAAAUAAACAGAGAUUAUCUUUUAGAAAUGCGUAAAUAGUUUAGCUCCUUCUUAUGUGAACAUGAUUCAUAAUUUGCACUUCAUUAUUUCACUUAAAGCUAUGAAUUUCUUAAGCUUUUCUUAAUAUAAUAUAGGUGUUUAGACAUAUUCAAAAGCAUUUGUUCUAGAUUUUUUCUAAUUUUUCCAUAACCACCUUUAUGGAAAAAAAGAGUUAAGUUGGUAUGGGAGUGGCUCAUUGACUUUCUUCUCAGCCUCAAAGUCACUACAGUUAUAUGGCAUCCACAACAUUUUUGUGAUAGAUCCUUGAUGGAAUUUAUAACUUCUGUAUGGGCAACCAUUGUAAAAAUCAACCAAAUUGCAUAUUUUUACUUUGUGUCCAGCAUUGAUGAUCGUCUCUGUUUCAAAUUGCUUUACUUUUGUUUCGCAUUGUUUCUCUUGAAUGCAUAUUUGUUUGCUUUUCUGCUUGCCUGCACUUCAUUCCAGUUUGAUCCAGUGCACUUGCCCUAGGCCACAAACGAAUGGCGUUGCUCAGGCCUUUUGGCAUGGUGGGCUAGCGGAUUUCAGAUUGGAAUGGAGUAAUUUUUCAUUCUUUUCGGCUGAUUUUCUUUAUCAUUUUUGUAUUCUUGUCAUUUCGCUUCAAACUCAGGUGAGACUUCUUUUUUAUCAUCGUGAGAAACUAGCUUUUCGAAAAUGAUACGUCCAAAAAUUUUCAUAUUCGAUACUUAGUUAGAAAUCUUGUUAGCAGAGUAAUCAAUCUUAGCCAGUAUUUCUUAUCAUUUAUACCAGCCUGCCAUUAAAAAUCUCAAGAGGAAACAAAAUCCAGAACACAGUCCCUGAAUGAAACAUAUAAAAGACUAAUUGCCUUGGAUCAAAUGAGAAAUUCACCUGGAAAAUCAGCAGCCGGAUACACAGUUGCUGCUCAGUGCAUCUUCCAAACCAUCUCAAGAACAAGUUAACCAGAUUCAUAUCCUUACUGCCGGUUAAAAGCCCCGUUUUCGGCUCAAAGCUACAUCACAAAAGGUUUACAAGUUAGCGAAAGACAAAGCUGUCUUUACCUUGGUAAUCGAUGUCUCGGACAUGGCACCCAUUUGAAGAGCUGCGAGGCAAGUUACUUAGCACAAAAACCGAAAGAUUAUAUGGCUAACUUACCUGUGGAAUGGAGUAAACAAAGUUAAUAAUCUGUGCUAAGAAGAAAAGCAAAAGAGUCUCGCUAAAAUGGCCGAGGAUGCCCGCUACAGCCAUUGUCAUCCCGGCAAAAUACGUGUAAGUGUCUCCAACAAAGACCGAUGAUGGAUACCUGUGGAAGAGAGAACUGCAGUCUUAAGACUUAAAGAGAUAUCAAAAUGUUUACCAGUUAUAACAAAGCAGCCCAAGCGACGCUCCAACAAGCAGUUGUGUGAGAUAAAUUGAGAAGGCGUGUGCUUGCUGGUAAUCAGCGUCUGAGCUACUCACGAUUUGCAUCAUGUUGUGAAUCAAAAUCUGUAAAACAUCAUGUUCUGGUCACAGAAAAAGAACAAAGAAAAGAAAGAACAAUGCGCAUACCGCAGAAGAUAUCACAAGAGUUUGCCCAACGUCCAGUCCAUUCACGCCGGCGAGAAUGUUGACAGCGUUGGUGCAAAACACGGCUAACAGGCCCAUGUAAACUUUGUAUAGCACGCCUAACAAGUGUAAAAGCUGUUCAAGAACAAAUCGAACCAAAAGAAAAGAAGAAAAAUCUUACCCAAGUCGAGCACCUCCAUUUCGAGGUAGGCUCGAAGAGGUUUCGGAAUAACAAUUGUCGUGUGCCCUGCGUAUGCCAUCAGUAAGGGAAGAGCAGCGAAAGAAGGAAGCAAAAGUUUCCUGAGAGCAAAAGAAACACUCGAAUUUGUUUCGCGAGGAGAUCAUGAAACUUACACGCGCCAUGGGACGUCGAGGACGUCGUCCACAAAGCCGAGAAGAAUCAUAAAUAGUAUAGAUGUGGGAGCCGCAUUGUAAAAUCGAGGAAAAUCCAGCUGACGCUUCUAGGAUGCGGGGGCGUCGGGCGCCAGCUCCUCCGCCACAUUGUCUCCACUCGUAAACUACACCAGAUUUCUCUCUUUGAAUCAAAUGCCCAGGGCUUGCGAGUCGCUGUGAUGGCUGUAGUGGAUUCCAAAUCCAUCUUUUUGGGUGAGAAAAACGAAGAACUGGACGACGCUGCUCUUCUGGAAAUUUGUCUUGCGAAGGAAAAGAACAAUCAAAUGCCCGGUACAUGUCUGUUUUUAUUUGCCUUUUCUUUAAACGAUGAAAGCUCAGCUGGAUUGAAUGCGCGAGCCGUUCGCGAAGAAGAUUUUGAUGCAACUCUAGCAGCUGCGAUAAGAACCAUCACAGAAGAAACUGGUAAAACUUUCCUUUGAGCUUUUUUGAUGGAUGAUCAUACAACUUUUUUUCUUGUUUAUCCUAUGGUUGUAGCUGACUGUACCGCGAGUAUAAAAAUUGGACAAGCACUUGCAGAGAUGGCGGACUUGGAUUGCUGCAUUGUUCUUGCGAACAAGAAGCCUCUCACCAGCUCGUUUGUAAGAUCGUUCUUUUUUUGUUUCUUCUUUCUUCCUUGACCCAUGGCCGCAGAAAGUUUACGAUAGGAUUGCGGCACUGAAUCGACGUUAUCGCUGUGAAUCAACAGUUGAGCAAAAACUAUUUGUACGUACAUUUUACAAACAUUUCUCAAGCAGGUCGGUGCUGCUAUGCCAGUCAUAGCAACUUUGAACCGUCUGCUAAAUUCCGGAGAUUCGAUCAAGAAAAUUGUUGGUGCUCUCAGUGGUUUGUCCUUUCAUUCUCAUAAAAAAUUUGCCACUUCUAACGUCCUUCUAACGUUCUAACCUUUGUCAGGCACUCUUGGCUUUGUAAUGAGUCGGUUGGAGUAUGGUGAAUCGUUUAGUGAUAUUGUGAGACAAGCGAAAGAGCUUGGUUACACCGAGCCAGGUAGCUAUCUUUCUUCAUGUAGUUUAUUCUUACGCUUUCAGACCCUCGUGACGAUCUUGGCGGUAUGGACGUAGCAAGGAAGGUGAAACCACUUGCUACUAUCCCGUGAAUGCAACAUGACUUCUUUCAUUUUUUAUAUAAUGGCUCGACUAAUGGGAUGGAGAAUAAACUUAGAGGAUGUGGAGGUACUCACUCUCUUUGGUUGGAUUCCUCUUAGUGACGUGCUGCUUAAAGGUUGAGUGCUUACAUCCGCCAAGUCUGGCUCCCAAACUGAUGAGCACCACGCAAUUUCUAAACGAAGGACUAGCCGAACUCGACUUGCCAAUGAGAAACCGUGUGAAAGAAGCAGCUGCUAGGGGUUGUGUUCUACGAUAUGUAAAACUUUCAGUAAGUCAAUCCGCCUGAGCUUACCAAAAACCUGUCCUUUGCUUACAGUUGCAAAGUGGGAAUUGUAGAGCAGCCUCAGCAGUCCGCUCUCGGUCAGCUGCAUGGAAGCGAUAAUCUGGUAAUUGUAUAGAGCUUGUGCGUUUCCUGAAACUUUGUUCUUGCAGGUCGAGAUUUUCACGCGCUGUUAUUCGACUUCGCCUCUUGUUAUUAAGGGAGCCGGGGCAGGCAAUGAUACUACAGCCGCUGGUGUGUUAGCGGACGUUUUGGACCUCCAAGACUAUUUUGGCUAGGUAUCGGACUCCAGAACACGCACUAACACCGAACAUCGUGGGAUGCAGCCGACAUUGUACCAUGGACAGGGAUUGGAAUAAAACAGACGUAAAGACAGAAUCACAUCUGCCGCCCAUAUUUACUUUGGGAGGGACUUUAGGCUCUAAUGGAAUACUGAGUUGGCCUCAAAUAAAGAAUUCAGCGAAUAAAGCCUCAAGCGUGAUCGCAAGUCACACCAUCUAUAUAAAAAAUGCCAGUGAACCGUAAUGAAAGCGGGCGGGAGGCGGUUUAGGAGAUAAAACACUUUUUAAUAAGCCUUCCUAUGCUUGCUUCAUAUAAGGGAGAGAACGUAGGAGACACAUUUCUGCACAGCGAAAUGUCGUCCCAGCGAAUGUUUAUCGAGCGCCUGCGUCGCGAGCGCUUUGGAAUCGGCCAGUCCGGUCCCAAUCCUCUCGCUCCCAUGCUCCAGGAGACGAUCAGGCUCCUCUCGGCCGAGCUCUACCAGAAGGACAUCCAUUUCCUGUCCGAACUCCUCCAGGUACUUUGCUCGAACUUGGUUCUGUCCCUGACAAACAUGAGCGUCUUAGAACGCUGAGGACAACACUUACCAUUCGUCCGUGGAGCCGAGCAUCGAAAUCUAUCUCACAAAGACCGACGUCACUGGCACUGGAGCAGCUGCCACGCUGCUGCUCUUGAACAACGAAGUUGGUUUCUCGGAAAAGAAUAUAGAGUCCUUGUGCGGCUCUGGUCAGUCCACAAAGAAAGGAAAGAAGUCUCAAGGAUACAUUGGCGAGAAAGGUGAGAUAAUUCUUUCUUACCUCUCUCUAGCCGUGGUAACGUCUCUUGCUCUACAGGAAUUGGGUUUAAGAGCGUUUUUCUCGUCACCAAGCAGCCAUAUAUAAUCAGCAAUGGCUUUCGUAUUCGUUUCGACGAAGAGCCCCACAACGAGGCCAAGCUCGGGUAUAUUGUCCCGGAAUGGGUCGACCGUCCUACAGACGCUGUGCUGCAGAAGGUCUGUAGCAAGGCCGAGCUUCCUGCAACGGUGAUCAUCCUUCCCUUGCGUCAGGAAAAGAUUUCGGAGGUGGCAAAGCAGCUUACUCAAAUCCCAGCGGAGACGCUCCUCUUCCUAUCGAAGAUACGCAUGCUCUCCAUCUACGAUCAGCAGUCGCGGCCUCCCACGGAACUGGUUCUCUCCAGAUCUGUGGAGAUGACAACGUCAAAGAAUGAAAGCGUGGAAACGAGCACAACUUUUCUCACAGCUAGUAACGGACGGAAUGGCACUCAGCACAGCAACUACUACAUGUUUAAGCAGACUUUGAAAGUACCUGAGGAGGCCAAGGUUGAAAACCGAAAAGAUGUCGAUAGCUGGACGAUCACUCUAGCCUUUCCGGUGGAUGAUCGUAUCUCGAGCAGCUGCAGCAUUGGCGAUAUCUUCUCGUUCCUGCCUUCCGAUAUCCACUCGGGCCUGCCGUUUCUUAUCAACUCGGACUUUUUGCUCGUUUCCUCCCGUGAGACGCUCCUCUUUGACAGCCCCUGGAACCAGGGGAUCUUUCGCUGUGUUCCCGAGGUUUUCUACAACGCCUUCGAGCUUCUCCUCAACACCACGGCGUUUGGACUGCAGAGUAUACCGUCAGUAGCACGCAUGGCAAUGUACAAGUACGUACCUGUGAAUGCUUGCCGCAACUCGUACCUCGAGAGAGUCCGCAACGAUAUCUUGUCCAAGCUGAAGGACAACAACGUCAUUCUUUGCGCCUCGGACGUCGGCCGUGCACCACCGAGCGGGCAGCUUUGCAAGCCUGCUCUUGCGAGAAAAAUCGUCCCCAGCUUCCGAGAGCUCCUCAAAGCCGCACCGAAGUGUCCCAGGUUCUUGCGAGGAAGUCCCUCGUACAUAGUGGACAGCACGCUGCAGGAGAACUACGUCUCGGUGCUGAGACUCCUGGGAGUCCCAGAUAUGAGCAACGAUGAAUAUCACCAAAGCCUCGACUCUGAAGACUGGAUGAAAUCGCUCCCUGACGAUGCAUAUGUCAAGCUGCUGGUGUUCCUGUCCUCCAAGUCGUCAACUUUGAGAUCCCUCAAGUUUCUCAAGUAUCGAGGCUCCGAUGGUCGACUCCAGUUGGCAAGCAUGGAUGAUCUCGCGCGAAACGAUGGCAGAUCCAUAUACUGGGAUUCUGGUCAUAGAGCUACCGCUUGGCUCGCUGGUUGGACAGAGGUGUUUCAACGUUGGCUAACUUUCAACUUCGUUCCAUCGGCCUGCGCUGCAAAAAUCCGGCAGCACUCGGUGUUAGAGAACUGGUUGGAGAGAACCCCCUUCAGCGUGAGCGAACUGACAGCAUGCUCACUCGCUCGUCAGGUUCUCGGAGCAGUCACUGCGAACUCCUCAGAUGCAAAGCUUGCUGUUCUAGCGAUGCACUUCCUGUUCGACCUGUACAGAAACGACCGCAGCUCGUACACAUCCAUCAGCAACCAAAAGCAUAAUGUACCAAUCGUCGAGAAUGACGGAGCCGUGAGUCCCUAUGUUGCGAGUUAUGUUUCAACGCGUCCAUUGUUGCUACCGGCGGCUUGUGGAGCGAAGUGGCCGCUCUUGCUCCCGUCUGACGUGUGGAGACGCGGCGUUCAAAAAUUGUCAGAAGAGUAUAUGGAGUCAGCAACGGUCGAUCUCUCCGACUCCGACGUGCGAACCGAGUUUGUGAAUUUUCUGAAGGAGCAGUUCCUGGCUACGGACAUCCCCGCCUUUGAUCCGGUGGACGAGGCCCUUCCUCCGCAUUAUGUUGGUAACGUCGCAGCGAGCUCGUUGUUACUGAAGUGGAUUAAAUCCAGGCACUGCAAUGCACCCGCUUUCACUUCCAGUAUUAAGACUACCAAGUGGUUGAAGACGAGCCACGGAUACUGCUGCCCAACCGUUGCAUUCCUGCCGGUGCCUGAGCUGCUUAAGGUCUUGAAAGUCGAGGAUGUUCCGUUCGUGGACAAGGACUGGAUGCCAUUGGAGGAGUAUAAGAACGAGUUCCGAAGCCUGGGAGUGGCUUGCGAGCCCGGCAUGGGAUAUGCAACUGUCCUCCGCUGUCUCGACAAUAUGCAGAAGCUUCCUGCUCCGCAAGUCGACACGGCUAAAGUGGUCAGAUUUUAUCAGUACCUCUCCCGCUGCGCUGAACAAGAAGUAUGGAGGGACGUUGACACGAUCUGGGUGCCGCAGAGCGAAGGCCGUGCAGCAACCUGGAAGAAAAAGGAAGAAUGCGUCAUUCACGACGUUGAGGGCUUGUUUGAAGAACUCGGUGUUGUACCCCUGGAUAGCUGCUACGAGCGGGUCAUGCAAGACAUCCUUCAGAAGAGGUUUGAUGUUUGUAAGAAGCCUUCGAUCAUCAAGUUCUGCGAGCUCUGGCACAGGUGGUCGUCUAAAGGAAAAGAUGUCGAGGUACAAAAGGCUUACACAGUGUGGCGUGAGCUGGUGGAGGCGAAGCUAGUCUCGUCACGACCAACUUCGACGCCGUAUCUGAAAGUUUUCCGCGCGAGCAGCUGCGUUCCUUCAAUACCAGCCUGCGAAAAGAACGCAGCCACCGUCAAGCUUCUUCCACCUGCAAAGACGGUCAUGGUUGAUCAGCUAGAGCUGGAACAUCUCUUUGGAAACACUAAUCCUCGUCCGUGGGUGGCGUGGUAUCCAACCAGCCAGGAGAUCAAAACGCAGGAGCUAUAUUAAGUCUACUCCUGGCUGGGGGUCAAGACAAUCUCUGAAUGUGCUGAAUCGGAGACGGACACGAGCUGCAUGAGCCUCUCACUCGGAAGGAAACUGGUUUGGGACGAAGGAUACAUCCACCUGGGACUGCUUAGAGCAAUACUCGGGUAUCUGGCUCUAUCACUCUCCGUCAAGGAGCGACAAACCAUAUUGCAGGAACUGCUGCGUCUAAAGGAGGUGGAACUCGAAACGGGCCUGAAAGUUCACUGGACUCUUCGCGUUGGAGACACUACGCGCCACGCGGUCUCGGAGAGGAUGCUCUACUGGAACAGAGAGAGGCAGGAACUAGCCUAUGUCGACGAGGAGCAAAGGAAGAAGAGGAACACAGAGUUUGGGACCGAGUUCGCGAGGACCAUAGCGGAGGGUCUGCUUUUCCACCACCGGGACUUGAUUCCAGGCAUGGAGAGGCAUCUGAGCAUGCUGGCAUUCUCUAAGUUCGACGUCAUGGAGGUGGACAACAUGCUCAUCAAGCACAACAUGCGGCUCUAUAGCGAGGACGAGACGUUUCUAAAGACCGGGGUGAUUGUGGAUCCAUCUAAAGCUGACGCUGAGAAGAACUUACAUGGUGGUGAAGCAGUCGCAGAGAUGGAACCGUUUGUGCUACCGGAUGUUCCUGAAACGGAGGAAGAUCAGCUGGAGAGAGAUUCAAGAAUUUCCGAACGUCCAGCAGACUCGAGAUCCACCACCAUUGUCGUCGCUUCAAGUUCUUACUCGCCAGCUUUUGCCGCUGCUACUCCGAGACCACCACCUCUGGACAAUCGGAAAUACCUCCUGGAGCAAGCUUUCCAAGUCUUGUCAUCGCUGGACGAGAUCAAAGACGAGACGUGGACGAUGGAGCUGCCAGACGAGGUUUUCAACUCAGAGAAGAUCAGCGCGUGGCGAGAGACGUACCUUCCAACAGUUCGUCGCCUUUUGGACUAUCCCCCUGAGGAAGGCUACCUCAAGCCCGGGAUGAGGACUGGCAUCUCUCUGGACAAGAUGCUUACAGCGGCAUUUCUCGACGCUGGAAACUUUCCGGGAGUGAAAGGAUCAAGCCACCAUCACUUGAGCUUCGUUGGAGCAGCGUGCCUCAACCUGUGCCUGGCGAUGGAGCUCGUCAAGCUAGAUGACAAUCACCACGGCGGGGUAAACGGCGCUUACAAGCUGACGAACACCUCCCUGCUCGCGGCGUGCUUCCAUGCCUGUGGGCUGGAUGAAUCUGUGCUGCGCAGCUCGAAUUCAGCAGCCAUGAGCGACCUCGUGGCGGCGAGCGUCGCGAGAGCCCUACUGGCUGUGGGGUUUUGCGCCUACGACGAUGGAUUGGGAGAAGUGAGGCGGAUCUACCAGGAGGUGUUCCUCGCCGCCCUCGGCGAUGCUCUCGGCUGAAAUUUUCAUGGUAGGCCAAAACGUGAUACAAGAAAAAACUCUCCCGCCCAAGUUUUCAAAUACUUUCUAAGAAUAUAGCUAGCAUAUUCGUUACUUCCGGCGCAAAAAGACAAAGAUCUAGUUGCCCUAGACUAUGCUAUGCCACCUUUUAAAGUUCCUCACCACCCAAUUACCCCCGAGCUACCUCAAAAGCUCCUCUGCGCCGCUGCUCCACUGUGAGCCCUAGGGUAGGUUAAGUCCCAUAAGACUGAUAAGAAUUUUGCCUGGAUCAAAUGACGAGAGAGGCUCACCUGGAAACUCAGCAGCCUAAUACACAGUUCCAGCAUCUUCCAAACCAUCUCAGUUUCUCAAAGAUAGCCAAAUUCAAUGUCGCAGACAUUGCAGUUGUACAGCUGCGAAUGUAAUCGAUGUCACUUAGAGGCAUUCAUUUUUGUGAAGAAGGUGAUAGGCAAAGAACAAAGGCAAAGGCCUGAGGAGCUGGCAUUUCCAAGAUGCUAGCCCAGUCAUGGAAUAAAGUGAUUCUUGUGUGAAAGAGAGGCUCAGAAUGCGUACGCGAGAAACGGCCUGGUCGACGAGGCCAGCGAGAUAGUCCAGAGCGUCCCAGCCUCGGAUUCCAUUGCCGCAAAUGCGGUUCUAGCAGCAUUCGCUCGCGCAGGGAAUGUGGCUGCAGCGAAGGAGCUGUUCGAUUCCAUGCCCGCCAGGACUUCCGGGAGCUGGAACUCGCUCGCGCAGGGCAGGGCAUCUUGCCGAGUGCGUCAAGGCCGCCAACUUGAUGCCACGCGGGGGACGUGGGUGGACAUGAUCAGGGCGUACGGAGAGCACGGCAUGGUGGCGGAGGCCCGUACAGCCUUCGACAAUUUGCCCCGGGUGACUGUCGACGCAUGCAACACCCUGAUUGUGGCGUAUGCCCGUAACGGGCAUCUGGUUGAGGCAAAGGAGCUGUUCGACGCGAUGCUGGUGAGGAGCACCGUCACCUGGGCGUCCAUCAUGGAGGCGUGCACCAUGAGCAACCUCGCGGGGCAAGCGCUGGAGAUUUUUCACUUGGAGAAUUGCUCGGGGCAGCUGAUGCUGGAUCGGGUGGUCUUCUCGGCGGUUCUUAGCGCGCAUUCUUGGCUCGGGUGCCUAGACGAUGCGGCGGGGAUCAUCCGCGACAUGGCCUCAGACUACGCCAUCCGGCCGAGUGUGGAGCACUACUGCGCGAUCCUGGCGAUGCUGACGAGCCGAUCAGAGCUGGGAGAUGCUGAGGAUCUUGCAGCAAGCAUGCCGUUCGUGGCCUCGGCCUCGGCGUGCUGCUCCUCGACGUGUGUAAGAUCCGUCGGGACAGCGCCCGGGCAAGGCGAGUGGCGGAGGAGAUAGUCAAGCUGAAUCCCAGCGGUCGCGCAGAGCCAUUCAUGGUAGUGGCGGGCCUCUACUUCCGCGAAGAGGCCGUGGAUCUCAUGCUGGAGAAAGGGCCGGUCAAGAUGUUGACCUUUUGACCCUAGUCUUUGACCGAAGGAUAAUGUGACUAUAUUUACUGCUGUCCCAAAGUGGAGGAGUGAACGUUGUAAUUGAUAUAUAUCUCCCUAUGGAUAAAGAAGCUGUGUAUGUUUUUCAAGGGAAUGGAGUUCACAGCUUUUCAAGGAAGUGAACUUGCAUGGUGAAAAUGAUGCAUGUUGUCAUACCAUCAAUCAAGCACAAAAGAACCUUCACAAGAACCCAGGGGAGCAACAAAGCCCCGUAAAACAAUAUGGAGGAUAUCGGCUGGUGAACUGGAGGUGGCAUAUGUGCAGUACUUGAGGGUUAUAUAUGGCUAAUACGAAUACAUAUUCGUGGCACUCGGCAAAACAAAAUACAAAAUUUUGCUUGGUAUAGUUUGAUGCUUGGACCAUUAAAUGAAGUUUAGGUAGUGUUAUAUUCUGUUGGUGAAGAAAUUCAUUGAUGUUAGGCGUGCCCUAGCUCAAUUUUGGCAUACAUAUAUUUGAAUAAAAAUUAUUUUACAAAUAUUAUGGUACUCUUUUAACUUCUGGCCGUGGGUUCGAACCGCAGGGUGCUCAGAUACGGCAUCUGGCCGAGCCAAUUACAUCAUAUUAUAAGAGUUAUGAAGAUCGUGAGGGCCCACGCAGGGCAUUUGACCACUCUUGGGCAAGAUACUUGCAGCAACAGUAUCAAUUGUUGUAAAGGUCACAUUUAAGUUCUUGCUACUCCUUGGAGAGCUUUGCUCCCAAAAUACAAAAGAGAAGAUGAGAGAAGGCUUCUUUUUUUCUCACCCGACGACUCCUCUUCCCUCGUCUAGAUCAUGCCAUGACCGAAGGAUAUGCUGCACCAAUUCUUUGCCCUAUCCCACAUGCCGAGGCGUGGAAUAAGGGCACAAGAGCAUGGAUCCAUACUUACUUGGACGGGGUUUAUUAGUUACCAUGAAGGCUAAUGGCCUAGGUUUGGUCUUCCCAGCUCGAUCAAAGCCGCGAUUUGAGGCAGGCUUGGCCGGCCUACCAUCUUCCCAAAGUGGAGGAGGGGACGUCGUAAUUUGUGGAAGUUGAGGGCGGCCCUCUCCAAAUUCCAAGCCCUAAGAUGGAUGAUUUUUUUCAUCUCUUGUCUUCUCGAAUAAUUGCUCUCCUUAGAAAAAUCAGGAUGUCGAAACCAUCAGCUUUCAAGAACACGGCUGCUUCAUCCAUUGAGUAGCGGUUCCUCGCUUGUCCCACAAGCUGGAGAAAACUUCCUGCCUGCGAUGGCGGCUCUCUUGAAUCCUCUGCGCCUCUGGAUCGUCGGCCGCGCCACCGUUGAGCAGGCUGUGUCCAAUCGGCUCGGGCUGCCUCGUUGGCUGCUGAACAUCCCCGCCACUGGCAUACGCUCCAGAAGGUUUCGAUCCAAAUUCUCGCUGGGAUACCAAAAGAAUUUCUUGUUACCUGUUCUAUGGCUUCUCUCGUUUCAGCCUUGCUCUUGCUGGAGAGCGGUGCUAAUCUCCACAGCCUGUGUGUGUGUGUGAAGAGAGAGUAAAGAUUUCGAAAACACGCCUUACCUUGCGAGCGCCUCCCGUCUCAGCCACAAUGAUGCCAUGGACCAUAUUGAAACGAGAGGUCACUGAUGUCCAGCUAGUCAUUGUAGUCUCUGAGGGACGCGACGCAAAAUUGUCUUCGCGCUUGGUUGUAGCCGCACAAUCAAUUGAAAAAAAUGGCAAUGCUUACAUGCUCGUAUUUAAUUGGAUGCUUCCUGGAUUUUUGGAAGCCGUCUCGUAAACAACCUCCCAGUGCUUCUUGGUUUUUAAGGGCUGCUCGCGGUCAGAGCACCCGAUUUCUUACAAGGGAACUGGAUAGGUUGAAGUGGGUUAGAAUAUUCGUUUGUCCGUCAAAAUUAUCCACCCGUUCAUGAAGCUCAUAAACCUUGCUCUCAGGUAAGAUUCUGUAUCAAGAGCCCUAAAAACUCUCCCGACCAUGUUUUCAAACACUUUCUAAGAAUAUAGCCAGCAUAUUCGUUACUUUGAGCUUGGAUGAAAGAUAUAAGACUGAUAAGAAUUUGCCUGGAUCAAAUGACGAGAGAGGCUCACCUGGAAACUCAGUAGCCUGAUACACAGUUCCAGCAUCUUCCAAAGCAUCUCAGCUGCUCAAAGAUAGCCAAAUUCAAUGUCUCGGACAUCGCAGUUGUACAGCUGCAAAUGUAAUCGAUGUCUCUUAGACGCGUUAAGGAGGUGAUAGGCAAAGAACAAAGGCAAAGGCCUGAGGGGCUGGCGUUUCCAAGAUGCUAGCCCAGUCAUGGAAUAAAGUGAUUCUUGCAGAAUGCGUACGCGAGAAACGGCCUGGUCGACGAGGCCAGCGAGAUGCUCCAGAGCGUCCCAGCCUUGGAUUCCAUUGCCGCAAAUGCGGAUCUAGCAGCAUUUGCUCGCGCAGGGAAUGUGGCAGCAGUGAAGGAGCUGUUCGAUUCCAUGCCCACCAGGACUUCCGGGAGCUGGAACUCGCUCGUGCAGGGCAGGGCAUCUGGACGCGGGGGACGUGGGUGGCCAUGAUCAGGGCGUACGGAGACCACGGCAUGGUGACAGAGUCCCGUACAUGUAUAUGAAGUUGCAAUCUAUAUGAUUCUAUAUAAAAACAUAUUGAAAACAUGUAUAUGAAGUUGCAAUCUAGCACUAAGUGGAUCCAAUGGAUUGUGGCAAGCUUAUAAACAAUAUAUUGUAAAAUAGAAAACAAAAACAUAACAUGGAAUAGAAAAUGAAAGUGCAUAAUACUUUAAUCAGCCUUGAAUGCAAUAACUUUUGGGGAGUUUUGAUUGGCACUAGUGGAGAAUAAGAAGUGGCUUUUUUGUGUCUUUAAAAGUUUGAUUGCCCUAAGCAUCCGAGGAGAAGUGAACAUCUUUAGAAAUUGGCCAAGAGUGAAACUAUAUGUUUAAUCAAUAUAAGUGUCCUUCAUACAAAUGUUUUAGGGGUGGCCACUAUCUAAAUAAAAUUUGCCAUGGACCUAUAAUGUUUGGAAAAACUUUAUUCAUUCUUACAAUAGUGGCACUAAUCAAUAUCAUGUGUUUGUUUCUCAAUCUUAAACAUUUGCAAACAUGGCAAUUGCAACAAAUAGGGAUUGCUCAAAGGUUUUUAGGGAUGAAAUAUCAUUGCACCUAUUGACAAAAUAUGCAUUAUGAACCACUAAAAAAGAUUAUGAAAUAUACCCUAAAGAAGUUUUUUUCAUAUAUGAACUACUUCUAUAUAUAGUCCUAAGGCAUAUCAUUAGUAAUUUUUAAGACAAUAAUGGAAGGUGCAAUCUUGAAUAUAUUUUUAUCUUUAGUUCCUUGGAAAUUGUAGAAAAUAUAAUUUGGCAUCUAUCUAGUAAACCAUGACGAUUUGAGCUCAUGAUAGACAUAGCCCAUAUCACCCAUCACAUGCAUCUGCUUUUAAAGUUCACAAGAAAAAUCCAGUCAAAAUAUUACAAAUAUUUUGUAAUUUGUAAUUAUAAAUAAUUUAUAGAUGUUUUCAGCUUCAAGAUCAUCAAUGAUGAACAUGAUGUUUAUAGUGUUUGUGGGGUGAGAGAAGAAGGUGUUGUGAUACAUGUCACAUAUAAUAUGUUGACCAGUAUUGAUGCUCAACCUUUUGCAAUGGAAACUCACUAUGUCACUUGGAUCUUAUAAUUCCCUUUAAGGAAUUUGAUAGUUUCCUCUAAUAAAACACAUAUUUAUAAUUAUUUCCUCAAUUCUUCUUUCAAAAUAGAAUACAAUAUUUGUUGUUUUGAUACUAUUCCUAUUUAGUUUUCAAUGUAACAAAAUUAUAUCAAUAAUCAAACAGUGUUUGCUAACUGGAAUAGCUAGUAUUUGAAUAAAUUUGACAAUUAUUUAAUCCAGGUAUAUUCCUGAUUCAUUGAUAUUGAUAGUACAUUAUUAGCAUAGCUAAAUCAAUGAUUAUAGAGCAUAACAAGUAAGCUAUGUAGCAAAAUUAAUAAAAAUAUUACUUCUCACUAAUAUAAACCAUGUUUACCAUUUAUAAAAUUUAAGGUAGAGUUUUAGCUCCUCCUUCAACCAUGAUGGAGAAAUGUGAUAGGAAAAUCAAGACUUUAGCCCCUAUUUUCUAGUUCCUUGUUUGAUGCUUACAAUAUGGUCAUUGGAGAGCACUCUUACACACAUAGCUUUUGGGUAAAGAAUCAAAACAAUUUAGUCAACUAAGCAAUGAUGGGUAAAAAUAUUAUGUGAUUUCUUGAUCAGUAGGAACUAUAUAAUAUUUCUAGUCAUCAGUGCAUGUCUAGAGCUUCUACCAUGAAAGCACUUCUAUCUGUUAGCAUUAUAUAAAGCUUUGCUUCACUAUAAUGGAUAUGGUUACCUUAAACUUCAUUAUCACAAUGUAUAUAAGAGAUUGCCAUACAAAAUAAAUCAUGCUUCACCAUUUAGUGAGCAGCUAAAACAACUUGCAGAAUUCCCCAAGAAGAUCUCCAUGAUACUAGUGUUCCAGCACCUUCCAAACCAAUAUAGUCUAACUCAUGAGCUGAAGAUUAAUGUAUUAAAGAAUCUGUUAUAUACCACUUUUAAGAAAAUUGAUUUAAAGGACAUUCCUUUAUAUUUUAAAAUAUAUUUUAAUUUAUAAAUUCCUAAAUAGUAUAUAUUUAAAAUAAAACUUUUUCACUUUACAAACAAUUAUAUUAUUAUUUUAAAACAGAUUUAGGUUUAUGCUAUUAUAUAUAUCUGUAUUAGGAAAGUCUUAUAGGAAUAUUUAUUAGUCAAACCAAUGCUAUUGUAUUAAAAAUCAUUUUAAAAAAAAAAUACUGUGAGGGCCAAGUGUAUGGCUACGAUGCCGUUUACUAAUAAUGGGAUUUUGGUAGCCGUCGAAUUGGUUUCAAUCCGGACCACUCACUCCUAUAUAUAAGCUAGGGUUUUUGGGCUAAUUAAUAUGCACAUUUCUGUAUUCCCUUUUUAUAUUCCAUGCACUCACAUUGGUGGAGGAGAGGGGCACCUUUGAUUGUCCCUAGGGAGUGCUUUGAUUUGGGAUUUCGAUUUAGAUUUAGCUUUUGCAUUGUCUAGAUCUAGUUUUUUCCAUUUCCUUUCUUUUGUUCUUUCCUUUCAGGAUUUUGGUUUAGAUCUAGCUUUUUGCAUUGUCUAGAUCUACCAUUUCUUUCUAGCUUUUUGUCAUUUUUCUUCUUUUACUCUUUCUUUUUUCGUUCAUUUUCAUGGCUGAUCCGCAAUCUCCUCCUUUGACUCUAGAAUAGUAGUUGGUUCAAUUGCUUGAUGCUAUACGCUUGCAAUUGAACAACCAAACUCAAUUGAUGGUGGCAUUCACGGCACGUGGUCCAACUCCUUUUGCUCUUGGUGCCAAUCCUCGCAUUCAGCCGGAGUUCUUUCGUGGGAAUCCUGGGAAUGAUGUAUACCAUUGGUUCGAUCACUUCACGGUGAUUGCCACAUAUCAUUCUUAAGAUGAUGCUCAACGUUUGCGUGAGUUUCCCACGUGUCUCCAAGGGACGGCAUUGCAAUGGUACAAUGGAUUGAGUGCAGCCACUCGUGGGAAUUGGAGUGUUCUUCCAGACGUCUUCAAACGUGCCUUCGGACAUGCCGACAAUUGUGACGAUGCCUUCCAACAAUUGCAUCGUCUUCGCCAAGGGCCAUUUGAGUUGGUGAUGUAAUUUGGCGUUUGUUUCCGAAGUCUUUUGCUUCGUGUGGAGCCUAAUAUGUCGGAGCGGAUCAAGCUAGGAAUGUUGUGGCUAACACUUCGUCAAGAUUUUGUCGGCCUUGUGCAUGCACUUGCUCUUGCCACCCUUGACGAUGGUCUUCGCUUGGCACAACGUUAUGAGACGUCACCUCUUCCAUUUCUCACUGCACGUCCUUCAGCUCCACUUCUUAUGAGCGAUGGUCCUGUUCCAAUGGAGGUUGAUGCUUCUGCUACUCGAGUCCACGAACAAGGGCGAGGACGUGAUCGUGGCCGUGAUGUUCAUUGCUGGGCGUGUGAUGAAGUUGGUCAUACUUAUCGGCGUUGUCGACGCUUUCCGGAUUGGCGACCUCCAUUUCCUAGAUGGAGACCUUGGUGUUAGCAACAUCCUGUUAGUAUUACUGCGGUGGAAGGUUUGGACACCGAGGUGCAUCUGGGAAAUGAGGAGUUGCACAAGUAACGGAGGGACCUUGCGCGAAUAAGUUAGUGACCCCUCCAUCUUUCUUUCGAGAGUAUCAUCAAGGGGUUCACUUGGCACCGGUUCAUCUAGUGUUUACUUUCCAAGCUCGUUUUUAUAACAAGAGGUCUUCUAUUCUUCUCUCCGUGUUAGUUGAUACAGGUUCGAGUUUCUUCUAUUGCUCGACCUGUUGCCACACGUUGUUGUCUACACUUGCGUCAUGUGGCGGAUCCAGUUUUCAUUCUUUAUAGCAACAGCCGUACACAUGCAUAUGCACGAGAUGAGGCGGACCUGCUUGUGCAUGUGGGCGAUCUCGAGCUUGAGUUACAGUAGUUGCGGGUGGUGCCGAGUCAAGCUUUUGACCUCAUUCGUGUUGAUGCAAGAAAGCCCAAGUGUGCCUGGUCAGCAUCAUCCCAUUGCAUAUAUAAACCAUACAUUACAACUAGCAGAAGUGAACUACUCCAUGACAGAGAAGGAGUGUUUAGCGGCAGUUUGGGGUUUCGAGAAACUUCAUGCAUAUCUACAUAGUUCUUGGACGUUACUUAAAGGUGACCAUGCUACCGUUACUUCAUUAUUGAAGCUGAAGAACCUGGUUGGUCAUACUGCUCGGUGGGCUUUGAAGUUUCAAAUAUAUAAUUUUGAUGUUGUUUAUCGCCCAGGGAGUUCUAUGGUUGAUGUUGAUGCCCUUUCUCGAGCUCCUCUUCCUUCUCCACUCUCUUCUCCUGUUUCUGAUGAGCCUGUUGUUCCAACAUCUAUGGAUUUUCUAGAUGAGGAUUCUGUGCCAUCGGCGGUUGCUGUACUUGCCGUUCAGUGUCCACAAUGCGCAAAGCAAGAUCUACCUUCUCUUGAUGAGGUCCGUGAGGUUUAAAAGAUUGAGCCGUGGAUUCGAAGGCUUCGAGAUGCAUUUGAGAAUCCUACAUCACUUACUGAUGACUUGCCUUUUCGGCAUUUACAUUCUUAAUAUCGUCUUGACGAUGACAUUCUUUAUUUUGUGGGGACGGAUCCUGAUGAUCCUUUACGGCUGGUGGUGCCUUCUAUCUUUAUUCCACGGUUUCUCCAUACCUAUCAUGAUUUUCCUGUUCUAGGUGGGCAUAUGGGACAUCGUCGUGUGAUCAAGAAGUUGCACAGGUCUUUCUAUUGGCCAGAGAUGCGACGUGAUGUUAUUUGGUAUGUGCGUAGCUGCGUUUGGUGCCAAGCUCGUAAUACUCCCCCUUGUGCUAUGGAAGGAUGGUUGGAGUCAAUUGCAAUUUCCCAUCCGUUUGAGUUAGUGGCGUUUGAUCUUAUGGGACCUUUUCCACGGUCGACUGUUGGCAAUGAGUAUGUCAUUAUUGCUUCUAACUACUUGACUCGUUGGGUGGAAGUUGGUGCUCUUGCUAGUGCCUCUGCAACUGCUGUUGGAUACUUCCUCCUCAAUCGAGUGGUGUUCCAGCAUUCUUGUCCAGAACGGAUUCUUUCGGAUAAUGGUCUUGCAUUUAUAGCUGAGGUAUUUUAUGUUUUGACGUCUUGGUUGAGGAUACGCCACACUUUUACAAGUGCUUAUCAUCCACAAUCAGACGGUCUGGUGGAAAGGCUUGUUCGGACAUUCAAAGGGAUGAUUGCGAAAUAUGUGAACUUUCAGCAUUCAGAUUGGGAUGGUUAUUUGCCGUCUUUUUGGUAUGCUUAUGUCACAGGGAUGCAGAGUUUUGUUGGUGCUUCACCAUAUAAGCUUCUAUAUGGUCAUGAUCCAAUAUUACUAACGGAGCUGGGUUUACCUUUGCGAUUACCACGAGAUCCUAAUGCUAGGUCAUGGGAUCAAUAUUUGACGAGCAUUCUUCCACUUGUCUGAGUAAAGUCUAUCGAACACUUAGGCUGCGUACAAGUGGGACAACAACGGCGCUACAACUCCCAUCAUCGUCCACCUGCAGAGUACAAAGUGGAUGAUUUGGUGUUAGUCCAUUUUCCCCAUCUUAUGGUACGUGGUUUAUCUAAGGGGCUCCUUGUGCAGUGGAAAGGACCGUAUCGAGUGUUGCGGCAAGUUGGACCACAAGUUUAUGAGGUUCGGCAUGACAUUUAGCAAGCUGAUCCUCCGGAGAUUAUGCAUGUGCAGCAGUUGAAAUGCUUCAUAUAAAGGGAUCAGGAGCAGUUAAUACCAUCUACAGAUCCGUCGAUGCCUCCUCCUGACAUUCCUCCAGAUCUCGGCCCAUCUACAAGAGAACCUUGACGGCCUUCCAUUAUUCUGAGAGGAGGGGAUGAUGUGAGGGCUAAGUGUACGGCUACGAUGCCGUAUACUAAUAUUAGUGUAGUGGGAUUUUGGUAGCCGUUGGAUUGGUUUCAAUCUGGACCACUCGCUCAUGUGUAUAAGGUAGGGUUUUUGGGCUAAUUGAUAUGCACAUUUUUGUAUUCCCUUUCCAUAUUCCAUGCACUCACAACAUCUAAUAUUAUGUUGCUACAGAGUUGAAAUACUAAAUAUAUAUACUUAGAUAUUUAUCUUAUUUAUUUACAUAUAGCUUCCUUUUCAUGCAUGAGUUUCACUUUUGGCUACAAAAUAUGACCAUCUUUUAAAGAAGAUAAUUAUAAAUUCUAGGUUUGUUUGUAAAUCAAUUUGAAAAAUAGAAUCAAUAAGGUUUGUGAAUUUGACACUUUAAACUUUAUCUCAUUGUCAAAAUUGUUAAUUUUGAUCAUGAUAAAUGACUUUUUUAUCUCACUUUAUAUAAUGAUGAUUUAUCUUAGGUCUAUUUUUUUCAUAGUAAAAAUAGCCUAAAACUCUUUAUCCACAUCACCUAGAAAUUAGGUUAGAUAUAUUUAUAUAAUACAGAACGCAUAUAAUAUCCUUCUAUAAUUAAGGAGGAGUUGCCAAACUUUUUGGCAAUCAAUGGGGAGGUAAUUAUCAAAGGGUUAUUUUGUUAAUGAUGUCUUAGUUAAUAAUUGUGUUAUAGGCAAUGGGAAGUUGCUAAUUGCUUAGACACAUGUAUUCAAUGUGUUGACAGGCAUUGGCACUCAACCUUUUUCACUCCAAGCUCUACUAUCAAGUUUCAUCCUACAAUGGAGACUUGCUAUGCCAUUUGAGAGUGGUGAUUCACACUGCUCCUUCUUCUGUAGGGUUUUAGCACUGGAAUGGGAGGAAUGGCACUCACUCACACGUGAUUUCUCUACAUGGAAUGCCAAAUAUUAAACACCAAGUUUGCAGCCCUUUGAUGUUCUUAGUGCCAUGAUUCUUAGCUCCCCAAGCUCUUUAUUGCCACUAGCAUGCUCCCAUGGGAUUCCAGGGCAUUCUCUGUUGGCAUGCAGCAGCAUCAUGGAUGAAGGAGUGCCAAGAUCAAUGCACUAAUAUCUAUGCUCGAGAAAAUUAAUGGUGUCAAGUUGAUCAAGUUGAUAGUGCCUCCCGAUGCUUAAGCUCAUUGAGGGGCCACUCCAAAAGGCUGGUUUCAAGUUUGAGGUUGGCAUGAGUAGCAGCAAGAGGAGUGGCUCACUUAUUGUUUUUCUCAGCCUGAAGAUCAUUGGAGUUCUAUGGCAUCCACAACAUUUUUGUGAUGGAUCCUUGUAGGUCAUGGUUUAAGUGUAAUUAAGGUAAAUUCCAAGGCCUAUGUUUCUUCAAACUCAGUCAGAUAAUUUGAUUUUUCAUGUAUACAAUCCCAAGCUCCAAAAAAAGUGAUAAUGAAAUGUUCUUAGGUCCUAGUGAAAGUCCUAGUCCCAAUGCAAUACUUCAUCUAUUCCAAAUUAGCCUAUUGGCUGCUUUCGCAUAUACUGAAAUCCCAUCAACUGGAUUUCCUUUGUUUUUUAAACCUUUUUUGUGGCUAAAUCUAGACAUUUACAGGCACACUUCCAACUAAGUGGCCUGUUGCAUUGUAGAAAAUAAAAGAUUUUAUAAUGUUUUAUUUAUGUUUUUGUAAUGGGAUUUUUUAGCUAUAUAGACCCUGGCUUCUGGAAUCUAAUAUUGUUUCCUCUAAGAAAACACAUGCUUACAAUUACUUCCUCAAUUCUUAUUUAGAUCUUGUUAAAGUGGAAUAUAACAAUUAUUUGAUACUAUUCCAACCUAGUUUUCAAUAUAGGCCAUGAAAUAAUGCUAUCAUGGUGGAAAAUAAAGCCUAAAAUUGACCACCUUUAAAAUAAUAUUUUAUAAGUAAAUUUUUUUUUGUCACAUGACAAGCGCACUGGAUCAAACCGGAUCGAAGUGCAAGCAAGCACAAAAACAAACAAAUAACAAAACUAACUUGUUAAUUGGGCAGCAUAUGCAUAGCAAUUGGUAGUAAUUAAAAAAAUUGAAGAUUUUGUGCAUCAAAGAGGCAUUAAUCUAUAUAGAUAUAGCUAUAAUAUUUAUGAAGAUAAGGUUUAAGUUGGUCUAAAAUUAAAUUUAACCAGGUUUGGUAUAGUUUAAAGUUUUCAAAUUAAUUAAUUAAAUUAAACUCACUUUUUUUUUGUAUAAAGAGCAGGAGUAAAACAUAUUUGCUGAUACUCAUCACACAAUUCGAUUGAGCUUCACAUUUUUUAUUUGGUGAACAUAUUGGUUUGUUAAAUUGAUUGCCAUAUAAGAUAACAAGUUGCUAUAAAUAAAGAAGUUCUUUUCCUUAAAAAAUUAUGUGUAGAUUCAUUGCCUUGCUGGUCUAUAUGCUAGAAUUAUUUUGCCCAGAGGGCUAGACUACAGUUUGCUUGAACGCACUGGGAGUUGCUAUUCCUUUCUUGCUUGUGACCGUAUGCCAGCUAUUGGUCAUGGAGGUGAAGCGGUUGGUUUCUCAUUUUCCUUUUAGCUUGUGUCCAGCGUUGAGGAUCAAAUUGUGGUCUCUCUCUUUCAAAUUGCUUUACUUUUGUUUCGCAUUGUUUCUCUUGAAUGCAUCCUUGGCAUUACCUGCGUUGACAAUAGGCCACAAACAAAUGGCUGUUGGCUGAAGCGCUUGGGACUUGGAUUUCAGACUGGAAUGGAGUGAUUUGCAUUCUUUUCGUGAUUUCUUUAUCAUUUUUGUAUUUUCGUCAUUUUGCUUUGAACUCAGGUGUAUCACCAACAUGAGAAACUAGCUUUUCGAAAAUGAUACUUGCAAAAAUCUUCAUAUUCGAUACUUAGUUAGAGAUCUUGUUAGCAGAGUAAUCAAUCUUAGCCGGUAUUUCUUAUCAUUUAUACCAGCCUGCCAUUAAAAAUCUCAAGAGGAAACAAAAUCCAGAACACAGUCCCUGAAUGAAACAUAUAAGACUAAUUGCCUUGGAUCACAUGACAAGAGAAAUUCACCUGGAAAAUCAGCAGCCGGAUACACAGUUGCCGCUCAGUGCAUCUUCCAAACCAUCUCAAGAACAAGUUAACCAGAUUCAUAUCCUUACUGCCGGUUAAAAGCCCCGUUUUCGGCUCAAAGCUACAUCACAAAAGGUCUACAAGUUAGCGAAAGACAAAGCUGAGGUCUUUACCUUGGUAAUCGAUGUCUCGGACAUGGCACCCAUUUGAAGAGCUGCGAGGCAAGUUACUUAGCACAAAAACCGAAAGAUUAUAUGGCUGACUUACCUGUGGAAUGGAGUAAACAAAGUUAAUAAUCUGUGGUAAGAAAAAAAGCAAAAGAGUCUCGCUAAAAUGGCCGAGGAUGCCCGCCACAGCCAUUGUCAUCCCGGCAAAAUACGUGUAAGUGUCUCCAACAAAGACAGAUGAUGGAUACCUGCGGAAGAGAGAACUGCAGUCUUAAGACUUAAAGAGAUAUCAAAAUGUUUACCAGUUAUAACAAAGCAGCCCAAGCGACGCUCCAACAAGUGGUUGUGUGAGAUAAAUUGAAAAGGCGUGUGCUUGCUGGUAAUCAGCGUCUGAGCUACUCACGAUUUGCAUCAUGUUGUGAAUCAAAAUCUGUACCCACGUUCUGGUCAAGAGAAAACACAAAGAAAAGAAAACAACUUUGUCGUACCGCAGAAGAUAUCACAAGAGUUUGCCCAACUUCCAGUCCAUUCACGCCGGCGAGAAUGUUGACAGCGUUGGUGCAAAACACGGCUAACAGGCCCAUGUAAACUUUGUAUAGCACGCCUAACAAGUGUAAAAGCUGUUCAAGAACAAAUCGGACCAAAAGAAAAGAAGAAAAAUCUUACCCAAGUCGAGCACCUCCACUUCGAGGUAGGCUCGAAGAGGUUUCGGAAUAACAAUUGUCGUGUGCCCCGCGUAUGCCAUCAGUAGGGGAAGAGCAGCGAACGAAGGAAGUAAAAGUUUCCUGAGAGCAAAAGAAAUACUCGAUUUUUUUUCGCGAGAAGGAGAUCAUGAAACUUACACGCGCCAUGGGAUGUCGAGGACAUCGUCCACAAAGCCGAGAAGAAUCAUAAAUAGUAUAGAUGUGAGAGCCGCAUUGUACUCCAGCAGCCACUACGCACAAAAGGAAAAAGAGAGAAAAGAUCAGCAAACCAUCUCCAAAAACUUAGAAACUUACAGCGGAGUCUGGGCUGAAACAAAAAAUCUGGAAGAGGAUCGUGACGACGACGAACACGAACCCAGUAACAAUCCCGAGCGACUCGGGCCUGCGAGGAGAUCCAUUUCAUUCGCAAUAGAUUUUUUCUUUUUUCCAAAAACUUACACUUGGAUUGAUCCAGCCGGAGAGCCUUUCUUGUUGAUGUCGUAUCCAAACAUGUUCCUUUUUAGCACGUAGCGCGCGACGACUGGAACGAGCCGGAUUACUGCGAAGAAGGCGCCGACGCUCAUACAGAAGCUGAUCGCGAUCGAUCGGCAGAGCUCCGCAUCCAGAUCGCGCGCGUGACGAGCAAAGAGCGCGAUGUAGGCGGCGAGGCAUAGCGAUCCAAAGAUCAAUGUUGCUGUGUACCUUGGCGUGGGAGGAGAUGCCGCUGGAGCCGCCAAUUCCUUGUCAUUGGCGGAAGCUGGGAAGCCCCGCCGUCUCCUCACAUCCGCCAUAGCCACCUAGAACCCUAAAUAUUUCCCUCGGAGAAAAAUCACAUUGUCUCACUAAUCUCAUGGGCGAUCGAGCAGGGAAGAACAAAAUGUCUGUCAAGGGCGACUAGAUUUCGUGGGCGAUCGAGCUGGGCAAGCGUUUGCUAGGAGCACAAAGAAAGGAGAGGAUGUUUCCACGAGGAGCUUCGCGUGAUCACGCUUGGAUCGAUGCUCCAAGCUCCUAUACGAGGAGGCGAGCAAGCACUUCCAAUCCAGCGCGUCCGGCACGAAUGGCAUCGUCGCGAUGAGCUCCCAUGCCUCGUCCAAUCGCCCCAGGCGCCCACAGAGAUCUAGCACGCAACAGUAGUGCUGCUUGGUGGGAUUUAGGCCGAAAUCCAUUCGCAUCGACACGAAGCUCCUCCUCGCGGCCUCGAGCUUCCCGGCGUGGCUGCAAGCGAGGAGCACCGACACAAAGCAGGAUUCGUCGGGAGAGUGCGUGAGAUUCAUCGUGUUUAAGACGCGAAGCGUUUCGCCGUGGAGCAGGCAGCGCGAUUGAGCGUACGCGGCAAGGAUCGAGCUCCAUGAAACGAUAUCUUUCUCGUCCAUGGCUUCGAAGAUCUUCCCACACUUCGCAAUUUGCCCUUCUUUGGCAUAUGCUGCGAGAAAAGUGUUCCAGCUUACUUGAUCUUUGAUAUCCAUCUUAUCAAACAAAACUUGUACUUCAUUCAUACAUGCGUGAUACGAAAAAGAUGCGAGCAUCGCAUUGCAUGAGACCACACUCCAAAAAGGAAACUUUGCAAAGAUGUUCUUUGAUUCCCGCAAAUGCCCAUUUUGGGCAUAUGCGAAAAGCAUUGAUGUCAUGGACACGACGUCGUGCUCCGGAAUCUUUUCAAACAAACACGUAGAAUCUUCGAUUUUACCGCAUUUUCCAUAGCCCACAAGCAUUGCGGUAAAGGUGACGGCGUCCCAUCUCGCCAUCUGAUCAAACAAAACCCUCGCUUUUCCGACUUCCCUGCUUUCGGCAUAUGCUUGAAUCAUGACAUUUGAUGCCUCGAUUCCCCACACUGACAUCUCCAGGAAACACAACUCGGCCUCGGAUAUUCUACCACAUUUUACGUAAGCCCACAGCAUGGCCACCCACGACACCAUAUCACGCUCCUCCAUAGCCAUAAAAACAUCCACGGCGUUUUCCAAAUGCCCCGUCUGGGCAAAAGCGACAAUUGUAGUCGUCGAUGAAACCACAUUCUGUUCCGGAAUCCUCUGGCAUAUUUGCAACGCCUCUUCCCUCAAAGAAUGGUGAGUGUACGCAACUAGCAUGAUAUUCCACGCCGCAAGAUUCCGCUCCGGAAUCUCCUCAAAGAGUGACUGCGCUAUGGAAAUAUGCCCGUCCCGGGUAUAUGCGGAGAGCAUAACAGCCCAGGAAAUAGCGUCGUGCGCCGGCAUCGUAUCAAAGAAAGGACGCGCCUGGUUUGAUCUGGAGUAACAAUUUAGCAUCGUGUUCCAUGAGAUGAGGUCCCUACAUGGCAUUUGGGCGAAGAGAAGCUCGGCUUGGGCUAAAUCUUUCACUUGGGCGAGUGCUACAUUGAAAUUUCUUAAAGUCAUCUUAGGUCAAAGUUGGAUUAGUCUUGAGUUCGAAUCGAGGUGUUAUUUAGGGCUGCUAUAUUAAAGUCGUGGGCUUUAAGCAAAUUAUUAGCAUCUCUAAGUCGCUUUGGCCGAGUGGUUAAGGCGUGUGCCUGCUAAGUACAUGGGUUCUGCCCGCGAGAGUUCGAAUCUCUCAGGCGACGAGAUUUCUUUUAGGGUUCUUCUGUUGGAAAAACUUUGGAAACAACCGUCGAUAGCCUUCCAUCUCUUGCUGGAGCUGGAAACUCGAGAGAAAAUCGCUGGUGUCGAGAGUGUCGACCAGUCGGGUCACCUGCUCUUCGUGGAGCGCAUUGGCGUCUUCCAUCUGGAGCUGGAGAUCAAGAGUUUGCGAGACAAAAAGAAACUAGCGAUCAAUCCCUCAAGAACAAGAAAGGACGUACCCGAUCGAGCAAAGUCUCCUCGAUCAAGUGUUGGUAGUGCAAAUUCCUGAGCUUGGACAAAUUCUCGGCCUCGCGGCUGUAGGAAUCGAUGAUCCUGGGCAGCGUCUUGGAUGAGGACCCGGUGGAGGAGGAGAGGCGAUCGAUCUCGGCUGUGCCGGCGCGCCGAAUCGCCACUGGCCGUGGAACAGCGCCCAGGAGGAAGAUGGUUUUGGUGGCGGUCUGGACCGCAUUCUCGGCAUUCUCUUCGCUCGCCAUCUCCACAGCCGCCCAUCCCAUGGACUGGUGCCCGGGCUGGAGGGGAUUGCGAGCCAGCUCCACGCGAUUGAUGGUGCCCAGCUGCGAUAGUCCCUGCCGCACCGCUGCUUUGCCCGUGAAUGGCGAGAGGUUCUCCACGAUCACGGUGCGGCGGAGAAGAUCCUGGCUCCGGGAGGGCGCCGCGACCUGAUCUGGUCGCAAGAAGCAUCGCUUGAGGUCGUUCUGGCCCUUUCUCGGACGAGAGCGCUUGCAAUCUCGGAUCUUUCCCUCUCGACGUCGCGGAGGCGCUGUGGCUGGCUCGAUCUUUCCUCGUCGCGACGAAAGAUGAGCUUCGCGAUCGGGAUUACGUACCAGCGAUUGAUCUAGCUCGCGAAGGGAGCGAUAUUUCGGUGGAGCCGACGCUGGCGAGCGCUUGCGAUCUCGAAAUCCCUCUGGAAUCGGCGCCGGCGGCGCUGCUAGAGAAGCUGUCGAUGGAUCGACAAGGAAAGACGAUUCCCCGGGAACAGGCGGCGGUGGAUCAGCGGGAAGAGGAGGAGGCGACUCUUCGCCGGAGAGAGGAAGAUCGAGGCAGCCGUUCUCCAUAGCCAUAAAGAACGAAGCUUGUCGAAAUCCCUCUGGAAUCGGCGCCGGCGGCGCUGCUAGAGAAGCUGUCGAGGGAUAGACAAGGAAAGACGAUUCCCCGGGAAGCGGCGGCGGUGGAUCAGCGGGAAGAGGAGGAGGCGAUUCUUCGCCGGAGAGAGGAAGAUCGCCCUCCAUAGCCACAAAGAACGAAGCUUGAACGGGGUAGAAUAUCCCUCCCAUGGAGCGUUUGAAAACAAAUACGCUAUGGGAGGUUUAUUCUAGGGUUUUCUCUCUGGAUGCUGGCUCGGCCAUGGCAGAUCGGAAGACCUAGGAUCGAAUGCUUGGCGAGGGGAAUGGCGCAGCAGUCGCGAUCGCCGCUGGCAUUGGCGGCAGCGAGCCUUGGGGCCGAGGAAUGGGAUCUCACAACGGAGGAGAUGGAUUCCAUGGAGAGGAAUGCCGCGCAGGAGCUGGCUGCCCGGCGCCUGGAUUCACCGCUUAAAUCGCAUCCGGAGCUCCUGGCUCGAGCGGUGGAGGGGAGGACAUCGCAGCAAAGCCCCUCUCCCCCCGUCUCGCCUUUCUCGAAGCGGCCUUUGCGUCUCAAGCUCUCCAGAGAUGGGCACAACAUCGCAGUGGAGGCUCCCUAUAACGCGGUUAGUUUUUCCGAUCACACCAACGUGAGAAUGGGAAGAACAUCACAACUUUUUCGUGUUAAUGCAGAGCCUCAUAGCGGCCUAUAAAUCUGUUGCUGGCCAUGAAUGGGAUCGCGGUCGAAGGCAAGCUUUUGCUUUCCAUGUUUCAUAAUUUUUCUCUCGAGUGUUGGUAGGCUUUGGUUGUUUCCCGAGCACAAUGUCCAAGAACUUCUGAGGGCUGUGACUGGCACUCCCGACCUUGUGCUCGACGUAUAACUUUCUUCUCCUUCUUUUAACGAACAUUAACUUUUCCUUCUUUCUCUUUUGUAGGUACAAGCAGUUCCUCCUCUCAAGCUACCUCAUCUUAAUUAUGGCUGGAAUCCGCCUUCGUGCUCGGGUACAUAUCAAAUGCCUUUACGUUGUCGUAUUAAUCUCGUCAAUCUAGGACACGGAUCUUCUCCGUUAUGUACUCCGACAAAGUCUCAGGAUAGCCGAAGUGGCAUGGCUGAAAACGCUGGUUCUCCUCUCAAAGAGCUAGUGGUACAGAUUUUCUUGAUAGAUGACAACCGUAUCGCGGCUCGAAGUCCCUAUAAUCAGGUCCUAUUCGAAGAACUUUAAGAAGUUUGACUGGCUCUUGAUUUUUUUUACCAGAAUGUUAAGCAAGCUUGCCAGUCUGUUACUGGAAAGCUUUGGAAUAACGAAGAAAGGUAAGAAUUGUCCUAAGAGCUGUUGAAUUUUUGAACUGUUUGUUGUCUCUUUCAGAGUAUGGACUUACCCGAGAUCUAGCUUGAUUGAUCUGGUGCGUGCGCUGCGGAGUGUCUCGUGUCCACGGGUUAACGUAUGAGUUAUUGCUUGCUUGAUAUUAGCUGACAUCAUCCGUAACAGGUCGAAGUUACGCCUCCGUUAAUUCUUCCUCCUGAUCAGAGCUUUGGUGAGCCUUUAAUUUUCUUUUCCUUUCUUUCUUGGUUUUUACGGGCGCAACCACAGGUUCAGUUUCUCCUUGCAAUUGGAAUAGAGGUGAGAGCGAAGUUUACUCUUUUGCUGCCCCCGAGAAACUGCCGCCUACAUCUGAUAACUUAUCUAAGCAAUUUGUGAAGUUGUUUCUUCAUAGCACUGGCCUUAUUGCUGUCAAAUGCGAACCAUCUCAGGUACAGCUUUUUAUCAGACAUAUUCUGUGAUGUUUUCCAUCCAUUUACAGAAACUGAUAUCGGUUUUGAAGUCCAUCUCAAAAGCAUUUUGGAACUACAGAGAACGGUGGGAUGAACGUAUUCAUAUUUUCUUAUUGUUAUUUAUGCUUUCAGGCUGUGGAUGUUUCCCCCUUGUUCUUUGUCCGAAGCAGAAAAAGCUUUUGCAGAAGUACCUUGUGAAGUAAGGUCGAAUACAAUUGGGAUAUAUUACUAACUUGUUUUUACAGAUAGAAGCUUUUGGACCAUUAGUGCGGCGUGCUUUAGAUUUUCAGCGAGAUGUUUCUGAUCUUAUUGGUAAACGCUUCAGAGAUGUUCUGAAACUGAUGGUUUUUCUAUGUCUUACAGGUUAUUAUAAGAACAUUCCUGGCCACCUAGAAUCAAGCCUUAUGCCCUUUCAGCAGGAGGGAGUGCAGUUCGCGUUGCACCAUGGCGGACGAGCUUUGAUUGCGGACGAAAUGGGGCUUGGGAAAAGUGUUCAGGUAUGUAUGUAAACAACGGUAACAGCUUUUGAACGACAUUUUUGUGCAGGCAAUAGCUGUAGUGUCUUGCUUGAGGGACUACUGGCCGGUUUUGGUGAUUGUUCCGUCGUCAUUGCGGAUACACUGGGCUACUGUUAAGUUUUCUUAAUGUUACAAGAAAGUUUUGUCUUUCUUACCCCUUUUUAUUUUCUUUUUCUUGUUAUGUUUCUUUUUGCUGCAGAUGCUUAAAACGUGGCUGGAAAUUCGUUCUUGCGACAUAACGGUAUGUUUUUUUUUCAAUCGUUCUAUCCGUAGACGGUUUCAUAUUUCAUGCGAGAUAGAUCGUUUUGAGUCAAGGGACCGGAUCAAGUCAGGGAUACACUAUCGCGCACUCUCAAGGGAAAAAAGUGCUGCAGCUGGGUGGAUUAUUUAAUAUCAUUUCGUAUGACAUGGUGUCAAAAUUGCCUGUGGAUAACUUCAAGGUGGGAUGAAUAUGCAUUAUUAUCAUUUUCUUUUUCCCUCCUAGGUUGUUAUUGCAGACGAGUCUCACUACAUAAAAAACGCUCAAGCCAAGCGUACCAACGCCUGUGUUCCUAUUAUCCAAGUACGUAAGUUUCUCAUCUUCUUUCGCUGAGAGUAUCGCUUGCCAGAAAGCGAAGUAUGCAGUGCUUUUGACAGGCACUCCUGCUCUGUCUAGGCCAGUCGAGCUAUUUAAGCAGGUUUGACAUCACAUAGUUUUACGUCAUGAAAAUUCAGGAGUGCAAACUAACAGCUAGAGGCGCUUCAACCAAGUGUUUAUAGUGACUUUCACGAGUACGGGCAGCGAUACUGCAGCGGGGUAAUGAGGCAUUGUUUUCUGCUCAUAGCAUUCACUAUUCUGUCUUUCAGAGUCAUUUUGGCAUAUAUCAAGGGGCAAGCAAUCGUGAAGAGCUUCAUGCGCUGCUCAAGAGUACCGUUAUGAUACGGAGGCUUAAGAAUGAUGUUCUUUCUGAACUUCCUGAAAAAUGUCGCGAGCAGGUAAGUUUAUUAAUUUGAUUAGCUUGUGUUCUUGAAAGCCUUGCAGGUUUUUCUGUCCUUGGACAUGAAAAGCACUAGACAACUUCGUGCUCUCAUUAACGAGGUACGUUUUGUUUUUCUUCUUCUUCUUUACGUUGUUGACAAUGUAUGUCAUUUUCCUUUUUCUUCUUUUUGUUUUUCUUUUGUUGCAGCUGAAAAGUAUCCGGGAAAAAAUGCAAAAUUCGACGGAAAGCGAGACUGAGAAAUUGAAGAGGGAGGAGAAGGUUCUAAUCACUAAGGUAAGCGGAGGGAGAUUCUAAAGUUCUAAGUCUUACGUUUAUCUAUUCUAAAGUUAUAAGUCUUACGUUUAUCUAUCUGCUAGAUAUAUGCGGAAUCAGCUGUUGUAAAGGUUCCAGCUGUUCAAGAUUACUUAUCCACGAUGCUCGAGGUACCUGCAAGCUUUCCCAAGUUGAGGCUAUUGACAUGUUUGUUUUCCAGACGAAUUGUAAGUUUCUUGUUUUUGCUCACCACCAUACUAUGGUGAACGGCAUCGACGAACACUUAAAGGUUCAUUUGCAAAACAUUUUCAAACAAUUACUUAUGCCUUUUUCCAACGCAGAAAAAAAAUGUGGAGUUUAUUAGGAUAGACGGAGACACAUCACCUGUGAUUCGUCAAAGUAUGGUGGACAAGUUUCAAAACAACGAGAAAGUGAGAGCGGCUGUGGUAUGUAGCUAUCGCAAAAAUUUGCCGGCUAAAAUGCUAUCAUUUGCAGCUAAGCAUACGGGCCGCCGGCCUUGGUCUCACUUUAACUAGCGCUAGUACUGUCAUCUUUGCCGAGAUGACUUGGACGCCUGGAGAUUUGAUUCAGGCGGAAGACCGUGCGCACCGUAUUGGUCAGGUAAUAUCCAUCUUAGCUUUAUCAAGCGUUUCUAUGUUGCCCGCAGAGGUCAUCUGUGAAUAUUUACUACCUCCACGCCCCAGAUACUAUAGACGAUUUUAUCUGGUACUACUUUGCUUGUCUUUUAGAAUGCUUUUUCUGAUGGACGUGUGAUGGGACAGGGAAACAAUUCAUCGCAAACUUGGGAACCUUGGUCAGGUAUGUGAUCUUCCAUCGCUGCUUAGUUUUUGUUUGCAAUCCUACAGUUAUUUUCUUUCGCCAGGUGCUAAAUGGUCGAGAAGAAACGAUGCGCGUGGCUUCGCCUCUGCAGCAUCGGCAGAGAACUAUAAACAACUACUUGCGACCAUGCUCGAGAAAUCUGUCCGAGCAAUAUGAGAAAGACAAGCCAGGAACUUCGGCAGCAAUGGAAUCAAGUGAUGUUUCGCGAAAAUUAUCGCUUGGAGAUGGCAAGCCAGUCGAAAGUUCGCCGUUCAAGCGUCCCAAGCUCUUGUAAAGUAGAUGUCAAGAUUAGACCCUUGUAAAGUUUAAACUUAGAUUGGCGGGAGAUAUUUUAAGGCGGAGCUUCCGAUUCGGAGUGCAUCGUGAGUCGACAGUUCUCUUCCCAGUGUUACAAUAUAUAUCUGUCUAUAUGCUGUUAAAAGAAAAACACUCAAAGAUGUAAAGAGCCUUAGAAAAGCACAGUAGCUUGCACGGAAGAAACCUGAGCUACGAUCUCUUGGUUGAUUCAAAUGGAAACUUGAGCCUUGUUUGAGCUCGUUCAACAGAGUCUGAAGCUUUCUCUGGUAAAGGUUUGAGAUCGAUCAGCCAUUGGCUUUCUCCCAUUAUGAACUUUCUUACAAUCUGCAUCAAUUGACACAGGGAUUUACUCUUCUUUUCAGUGCAGGUCUUCUCUCCCGGAUGGCAUUGGAAUGCUGUGCGACACAAUGCUGGAGCCAUGGCAGCCAGUAAUCUCCAGGAUAAGAGGAGCUGCCAGCUAGCCACUCGAUUGUAAGGGGAGUGUGAUGAGUUUUGUCGAGCAGCAAAAGUUAGAGUGCCUGUGAGGUGAAUUUAACUAUUUAAGAAUUUUAUGAAAUAAAAAAUGUUUUUAUUAGAAAAUAAAAUAUUAAUUAUUUUAUAUUUGGUAAGGAUAUAUGUUAUUUCUUAUUUCUUAAAGAUGAUAUAUACAUACACACAAUAAGCAAAUGUUGGAUGAGUACAAAUAUUAAUAAUUUUAUACAAUUUUUUUCUUUUUGAUGUCUUUAUAUAUAUACACUAUACAGAAUAAACCAUGUAUGUUUAGAACAUUAAUAUGAAAAAAAUAUUUACUAAGUAAAUAUUAUUAAUAAAGAUAUUAAAUGCAAAGUACUAUUUAGGAGCAUAAAAGUAUUUAAAACACUAAGACUUUAAGAAAACUUAAUAUGAAAUCUAAAAAUAGUAAAUAAAAAUUGCUAAGAAGAAUUUUUUUAUACUUAUUACAUGUGGAAUUUAAAUAUAUUUACUACAUUCUAGAUCAAUAAAGUAAAAGAAGCAGUAUUAAAAAUGUAUUUUAUUAAUUAUAUAAAAUAUAUUUUUAGAGAAAUCAUUUAUAAAUAAAUUAAACUGGUGGCUUGCCAUCUCAUCUAUUAUUGCUUUUACAAAUUGUGUUAAAAAGUGAAUUUUUGCAAUGACUUUGUUCAAAUCCUUGAAAUUUACGCAAAGUUGAAACUUACUAUUAGUUUUAUAUAUAGGAAUUAAGUUGGAAACCCAUUAAAAAUGCUUUAUAGGAUAGAUAAAGUUUAAAGAAAACUUAACAUAUAAAAAAAUUUAUAAUACUAAGAAGUUAAGAAAAUUAAUAUAUUAAUACCUAAACUCAAAUAAUAAUAAUUAUUAUUAUUAUUAUUAAAUUAGGGAAGCAUUAUUUAUUUAUAUGUGCUUACUUGGAAUAUAAAUAAAUAUACAAUACUAAGAUUUUAAGAAAAUUUAUAUUGAAAUAAAGACUUUUACAUAAAAUCAAACACCUAAAAUAGAAUCUAAUUUAAUUAAUUAAUAUUUAAAUAAUAUAAAUAUUAGCAAAGAAUUAGUUUACUAUGUAUUUUACUUAGAAUAUAGAACAAAAAAAUUUUAAGAACACUAAUACUACUACCUAGACCAGGUGAAACUAAGAAAAGAAUUACAAAAACUAUUUUUUAUUAAUACAUGCUAAAUGCAGACUAAAAUUCCAAACCUAAUAUUCCAACUAUUAAACUAUAUUUGUAAUUAGUCAACAUAUUUUAAAAUAUUAGUGCUUAAUAAUGGUUGUAAUUGUGAAAAUGGUUGUUUAUACUUCUAUUGUUAAAGGUGUUUAAUUUUUUUUGUAAUAAGACUAAGCUAACCCAUAACUUGAGCUGAACCUUAUGUCUAAAAUGUAAAUCUCAUGCCUAUAACAAGGGAUUUAUAUGGAAUUAAUGUAAUUGCUCAAUCUCAAUAGAUCAGUACAAAUAAAGAAUUGCCUUAUCAAUUGGUGAGGAGAAACUCUAUCUAUCAACCAAACAUAUACAUAAAGAAGAAAAAUGUAUGAUAAACUACUUAGUUAUAUGGUUUUAAUUUAAAUCAAAAUGAAUUUUAAUCAUAGUAUCCAAGCUUUUUUAUCUCUAGGAAAUGAUAUUCUUAGCCUAAUGGUUUUGCCACCUAAGCAACAUCUACUGCACAAUCACCAGUAGACUUGGUAGCCAUGCCCUACAAGAACCACAAGACCUCUUGUUCUCGUACCCAUAGGCUAAGUGGCAUCUAAUUAUAUUAGCUAAUUGAGGUAAUUCUUGGUUCAAAGGUUUCAACCACCUGAGCAACAUUUGCUGCACAAUCACCAAUAGACUCAGCAAAUAUACUCUAUGGGAACCCUAAGAGCUCUUGUUCUUGUGCCCAUCGCAUAAGGAGUUUUCCAGAAGCAAAAACAAAUUAAUAAGUGAUGCAAAAGGGCCACAAACCCACAACAAGCAACAUUUUUUUUCAUCUGUUAUCCAUGGCUUAUAAUUCUCUGCCCCAAUCUCCCAAAUUUAUGCCCAUGAAUUCAAAUGAUAAACACUCACCAGAGAAUUGAAUGCUAAUAGCAGACUAGAUCAAUCAAUUUCCCAUGGCACUUGGUUGUUAGAUAGCCAUAGCACUCCACAUGUCACUCCUUUGCUCAUACUAGUCCAGCCUUAGGGAGAGAAGCAAGAACUUUUGCAAAAAGAAUGGAUAAGAUAGUAUAUGCAUGAGUUAAGCAUGGUAGACUCAACAUACUCAUCCACAAACCAUGGAGCUCUUGGGCCUCCAUCUCUAGCACUAGGUGGCCAUUGACCACCACUAACAUCCCUAUGCUUAAGCAGCAUAAACUCUUAGGCCUCUAUCUUUUAAGAGUCAUAGAUGAUCUAUGUGUUAAGAGAAGAAAAUAUUGCAAAUGAGGAAAAAACACUAAAAACAUGACCAAAAAAAUAAAUAAAAAUGAAAGAGUAUAAAGUAAAGAAAAAGGAUUAAAUGGCAAAUUGAAGGAUUUACAUUUAUCUGAAAUUACUCAUUACAAUUUAAAACCACUCAAUCUUGUAUACAUCAUCUUCCUAUAAACUUCAUUUUUGAAUAUUCUUUAAAUUUUGAAUUAUAUCAUCUAUAACUCUCCAAUUGAUGUCACAAUUAUGCUCCAUAUUAAUGAGAGAUAAUAGAACAUUAAAAAUAGGAGGCACUAUUGUCCCAUAAAGGUUGAAAGUGACAAUACAUUAAGGAUGGACACAACAUUAAUAUGAUCACACUUUACAACAUCAAAAGCUCAAUUCAACAGAAUAGUAUUAGUAGCUUUAAGUGACACUCUUUCAUCAAUGAAGGCAUGGCAUAAUGGAAGAAAGAAAUGUAAUCAAGAUCAAAUUGAAAAACAAAGUUAAGUAUAAUAAUAACUAGAAUUCCAUUUUUAGCAAGAUGUUAACAUAAAUUUAGAUCUAAAAGAGAAUGAAGGAUUAUAAACAAAAACAUGAUCUUGAAUAUUAGAGUAAAGCACUAUAUUUAUAUAUAUACAUACAUACAUACAUAUAUAUAUAUAUAUAUAUAUAUAUAUAUAUAUAUAUAUAUAUAUAUAUAUAUAUAUAUAUAUAUGUAUGUAUGUAUGUAUGUAUGCAUAACAUACAUAUAUACAUGCACACAUACAUACAUACAUACAUAUAUAUAAACACAUAUAACUAAUACUAAAAGAGCUGAAGUUUGUGGGCUGCCAGAUCUGGCCAAUCAGCACCAUUAGAUGUGGGGCAACUUAGUAAAUAUCAUUUUUUUAUUACACAUCCUUUGGAAAUAUUUUUGUGAGGUUUCAGCCAGCCAAUAAACACAUAGCACAGCCCAAGCUGGGGGAGGUGUUAGUGACACCUGUUUGUUUGUGCGGCCCAAACUCUCUUUUUACCACAGCUCCUCCCAACUGCAAAAUUUUGAGCAGAAGCAAGAGAGUACCUAAUGCCUGAUUUUUAAUCUUGUAUUAAAUUUAAUAUUUUUUCUCCUCCUCAUGGAUAGUGAAUGUAUGUAUGAAACUAAAAUUUAACUUCUGUUUUGUUAAAUUUGGUAUUAAGUAAUUUCCUCUAUUCCAAAGGUUAAAUCACUUUUGUUAAAGUUUCAAGUUGAGUGUAUGUCUCUAGUUGUAAAUGCCAUUAAAAGCUUUUAUUUUAUUGUGGCUACUAAAGAUAUUAUAUGUUCCUUUCAAAGUUUGGUUUUUUCAAUUAAUUUCCCCAUUUCAAAUAUUGAGUUGUGUGUAGAGAAGAUUGAGUGGUGUAAAUCUCUUUUUUAUCAUGUGAUGACUAAAGUAUUUUAUACUAAGAGAUCUUUUAUUUUUCAAGCUUUGAACUCAUUUUCUUGUUAUUAUUUCUUCAUUUUUUCCUUAAAAAUUGAAAAUUUCUCUUUUGGUCCUUAUUAUCCACUUUUUCUUCUUCCAUAAUAUUUUUUUCUCAAUUUAUCUCACUUUAUUAACACUUUAAACUUUUUUUCUUUAUAAAAAGGGGUAGAAGGGAUGGAUGAAAAUUCAGACCCAAUAAUAAAGUAAGGAUGAAUAAAUAUAGUAAUAGAGUGAGAAUGAAUAAUAUAAAUUAUGGAGUGAUGAAGAGCAUAACAAGUAUAAAUUGAAGAUAAUCUAUCCAUUUUUGUAUAAAAAUAGUGAAUCUAAACCUUAAUUAAUAUAUUUAUUCUCUUUUUCUAUCAAUCACACACAUAUAUUUGUGUGUAUAUUAUAAUAUGUAUGGAAAAGUAAAAAAAAAUUAUAUUUUAUAUUUUGAUAUAAGAAAUUAUGGUAUAUAUUAUUUAAAUAGAGAUAUAACAAGUUAUUAAUUGUAUUGCAUUUUUUAUGACCCUUGCCUAUAAAUUAAUUUACUUGCAUCUAAAAAAAUUUAAUUCUAUUUAAUUCAUUUGUUGAGUUAUUUAGAAAUGGUCCAAGAAUAUACUUACUAUAUGUCACUUUAACCAAAUAAAAAAUUAUUUUUUUGCUAUAUCACUUUUUUGUUUUAUAACUUUACAACUUGGUAAAUGAGAAAACAUACAUCUAUACAUUGAAAAACAAUGUAUUAAUUAUCAUAAUUAUUAUAUUAUUUUGUAACAUGAAACUUUGUAAUUUUAUGUUUCAAUAAUAUAUUAUAAUAACCAAAAAUUUAUUGUAAACCCCAACCUAAUUUUGUAUACCUUUCUUUAGAAAGUGUUUUUAAUUUUUUUAAAACUAAAAAUAAUAUAUAUUAAAAAACAUUUCUAGCUUCACUUUUUUCUCAUUAAAAAAUACUUUUAUUUAUAUAUGCUUACUUGUGAUAUUCUACAUAAGUUAAAUAUGGUACUUCAGGUAUACUUUAUUUGUAUUUAAUUCAAAUAUUAGCUGUUAAAAGUGUUAAGAAAUAUUUAAGAAUAUUCAUAAGAUUAAUCAAUCUAGAAAGCCUAUUUACCUCGCAGAUAUUAUUAUCUUGUUAUCCUUUCCUUUAGUGAGCAAAAGUUUCUACUAAUUUAAAUUUGUAACUAUUGAAAUGAUGUAAUUGUUUGAGGUUGUCUAUAUACUACAAUCCACCAUUUCAUUGACUCCAUUAAAUGUUUGAUUAAUAAUUCUAGUGUUGAAAGAUAUGUUAUAAGAACACUUAAAAAUAAUAAAGGAAACAAAAAAAGUGCUAGUUUGAAAGUCAUAGGUUGUUUAGCUAUUUGAAAGUCAUCCCCCUAGGUCUAAAUUGUUGAAGGCUAUUAAUAUCUCAUUCUGAAAUUGAAGUUAUCAUAAAUAUCAACACUCACUUGCCCCUUGGUGCUUGAGAAUGCUGAAUUGCUUGUUUUCACUACAUUUUUAAGUAAGUAUUUCUGAGAUUUUUGUAUUGUUUUGUUUAUCUAUUCGAAUUUUGUGAUAGAUUUUAAAUUUUAUAAAAAGGUAUUAUUGUUGCUGAAUUGCUCAACAUGUGCCCUUCAAAGUGUGCGUCACCAAAAGCUCCCAUUUGGUCUCAAAUUGGUCCAUGCAGUAGAGUAGCCAAGAACUAAACUCCCUAAAGUAGUCACCUUGAUCUAUAAGCAAAGGUGAUUUCCGCAGCUGCGGCAACGUUCUUUGCAGUGAGUGGAAUGAUGAUCGGCCACGAUGGAUUCGCGCAAAUUAAAUUAUUCGGAGAAGAAACCAAGAGUUUAAACUCAUAUUGGCGGGGGAUUAUUAUUUAGGUUUUCAGCAUGUCUAGGGUUCUUGGAGAGGGAGCGAUGGCGGAGCUCCCGAUCCGGCGCGAAUCGGAGUGCAUCGUGAGCGCUGUGCGCGACAACAGUGUCACGGUCGUGAUCGGCGAGACGGGAUCGGGUAAGACGACGCAGCUUUCGCAAAUCCUCCACGAUGCAGGGUUCACAGCCGACGGCAAAUGCAUCGCCAUCACGCAGCCCCGGCGCGUGGCGGCCGUGUCCGUCGCUCGGCGCGUCGCUCACGAGAUGGGAGUGACGCUGGGCGAGGAAGUGGGAUACGCCAUUCGCUUCGAGAACAGGACGUCGAGCAGGACCUUCAUCAAGUAUCUCACGGACGGCUGCCUUCUCCGGGAAUUCCUAGUCGACAUCGAGCUCAGCCAGUACUCGGUGGUGAUCUUGGACGAAGCCCACGAGAGAACACUCAACACCGACAUCCUUCUCGGCUUGCUCAAGCGCCUGGUUGCCUUGAGAAAGCCCGAGCUUAAGCUGAUCGUUACCUCGGCAACUUUAGAUGGUCACAAGAUCUCCAAGUUCUUCGGUGGCUGCCCCGUUGUCAACAUCCCUGGGAAGCUCUUCCCGGUGGAGAUCAUGUAUAGCACCGAGCAGCCAGUGAGCUACGUGGAGUCGGCGGUGGAGACCGCGAUAGAGAUCCACGCCAAGGAGCCUCCUGGUGAUAUCCUCGUGUUCAUGACGGGCCAGGAGGAGAUAGAGAAGGUGAUAGUUAAGCUGGAGCACAGGGUCCAGACUCUGGAAGAAGGCUCGUGUAUGGACGCACUUGUUCUUCCUCUCCAUGCUUCGCUUCCACCGGAGUUUCAGGCCCGGGUUUUCGCCCCGGCUCCUAGCAACUGCCGGAGGAUCAUCGUUGCUACAAAUGUCGCGGAGACGUCUCUCACGGUUGACGGUGUUGUCUACGUGAUUGAUCCAGGCUUCGUGAAGCAGAGACAGUAUAAUCCCACCACGGGCAUGGACGCUUUGUGCGUCGUUCAGAUAAGCAGGGUUCAAGCAACGCAGCGAGCUGGUCGAGCAGGACGGACGUGUCCUGGUAAAUGUUACAGGCUCUACUCGAGCUCCAACUUCGAGCAAGACUUUCCGGCCGUGACGGUACCGGAGAUUCAGAGGUCGUCGCUAGCUGGGGCGCUCCUCCAUCUCAAGUCGCUGGAGAUUCCAAACCUCGACGUGCUGAACUUCGAGUACCUGGAUGCCCCGUCGGUGGCAUCGCUGGAGGAUGCUUUGAGGCAGCUAUAUCUCAUUGACGCAAUCACCAGCAAAGGCGACGUUACCAGCCUUGGCAAGCGGAUGGCUGGGCUUCCGCUGGAACCGUCUCUAGCGAGAGCUUUGAUUGCUGCGGAGGAUCUCGGAUGCCUGGAAGACGCUCUAGUACUGGCUGCGAUGCUCUCUUGCGACUCGGUGUUUUACCAAGCUCCAAAGAAGGAGAAGAAAGAACAAUCAGCUGUUCACCAGGACUUGCCAACAGGAGACGGUUUUGGCGAUCACAUUCAGCUGCUACAGAUCUAUGAGAAGUGGAGAAGGGUGGAUUACGACUUCGAGUGGUGCAAAGAGCACGGUUUGCAGAUAAGAGCGAUGAAGUUCGCGAGGGACAUACGGAAGCAGCUCAGCCUGAUCAUGCAAGGGAAAAGUGACUUCAGGAAGCGGAAAGAUCCAGCGUACAAGAACUUACGCAAGGCUUUUGCCGAAGGCUUUGCGAACAGGCUGGCUCAUCGGCUUCCCAAUCACAACGGGUACCGCACUCUGGCACAAAGCUCUCACCUCGUGCAAGUUCAUCCUUCAGCUUGCAAGAUGGAAAUUGAUGCGGACGGACUGCUACCCGAGUGGAUUCUUUACCACGAGUUGCUAACAACGACACGGCCGUAUAUCAAGAAGAUUUGCGUCAUCGACGGUCGCUGGGCUCAACCGACGCUGGUGAAGCUUCAAGACCUGGACGUCAUAAGCUUGAGUGGCAGGCUGCCAGAAGAGUCAAGGACGCAUUUGGACGAAUCGUCGGAGACUAAGCCCGCAAGUGCCGUCACUCAACCAGCUAACAAAGAGGCGGUGGACGCUGCUCGAGAACGAUAUAUGGCUCGCAAAAAGGCCAGGACCAAUCCGGCACGGCUUUCAGCCCGCUGACGUUUUACGAGGUAUGAAGGUGUCUUACUUUUUUACUUCUAUGCAUGUCUUACAGAAAUUAUGUUCGGUGCUUCUUUCACAGUAAACAAGAAGCAAAUAUGGUGCUCCUACUCAAGUUCAUCCAUUCUGAUUUUGGCGCUUCCGGAUAGCUCGUUUUAUUUUCAAGGUGUGCUUAGUUGUUUCACAGUGGGGUGUUUGAGCUCAUUCAAUUCACAGUGCUGAGGCUUCGGGGGUCCGGUGUUUGCACCGCAGUGAAGGUAAUUUAUAAUCGUGUGCUUUUUGAGGCUCUUGCUGUUGUCAGAAACGCUCUGCCGAGCAUUUUUGAGGCCUUGGAGUUGUUUAUGAAUUUUUCUCCUCUAUUGUGGCCUUUGAAGCGCUUCCAAAAGGUUGGAAUCUCGUGUUUCAUUGGUGUCUAAUGCUUAUUCCUGACAGGAAGCGUUCUCAUUCUUUCUUUAUGAUUAUCUCGUCUGGAAUCAAAUAACAAUAUACAUAGCACCAACACCACCACCUUGUCAUUUUUGAGGAGCCAUAAAACCACAAUGCAACUGGAAAAUCAAUGUCAUCAUCAUGGAAAGGCAGGCUUUCCUCGCGAAAGGCUUAACUUGAAAAAUUAAUGAACGAAAACCUCCAAUAGUGCCAAUCGAAAACCAGCCUCACGUUGCCUUCUUUUUGAGCUGCCAUGUUUGUGGUGUGCUUCUCGGUUGAUCUAGUGAGUUGCAUUGAUGGCGAAGUCAGACUGCCGUACACUUUCAGCUUUGAAAGGCAGUGAUUGUGUGAUUGUGAUUGUGUGCCUCUCUGUGUGUGUGUGCAUCUCCAGAACUUCCAGAAAGAACAUGGAAUGAAAAGCUUAACAUCUAGAAAGCACCUAAAAUAGUCGUAUAAAAGGUUCAUUAUACUCUAAUCUUAUUGUACGCCUUUGGAGAAUUCUACACAAAUGUUCAACAUUUCCAAGAGAAGGAUGAAGAUUCCCACAGGGGAAACUCUAGGCUGUAAUCUCUACAACAAAAACGGAGGGAGUGUGUCUAGUAAGUGGUGCAAACAACACUCUACUCAUAUCUCCAGCAAGAAUAAGUUGAAAGGUUCCUUAUCAUGAGUAUGUAAAGUUCUUUACCCCGUCAUGAAAUUUCAUGAUCUGGAUUCAAAACCAUGUGAUAAUGAUUGCUCCCCAUGCAACUGAUUGCAUGGAAAUGCAUGGUUACAUAUGCUAAAUCAUACAUAAGCCUUGGAGCUCCAAGAAAAGAUUAUGCAUCGGGCAAUUGCAGAUUCCAACUCCAGGUACGGACCAACUAAAGGAUGGUGGAAACAACUGCAAGAAUGGACAAUAAGCCUCAAACUGGAGUUAAAAGUCUGAUCAUAUCCUGACAUAGAUAAAUGGUUGUAGCCUUGCUCAACAUCAAAGCCACUGUAAAAACUAGUGCACCUGAAUCACAAUUCUCCCUAGAGCACUUCAUUUGGCUACGCAUAUACUAUUGUAAAUUGCUGGACAUGUGAAGUGCACAUACACGUGUCCACCUGUCCAGUUCUAUUGGCUGGAAAGCUUAUGGUCCAUUUUCCAUGGUUAUCGGUCAAGGAUCCAUUCACCAUUUCUUAAAGUCAAUUCUGGUCUUUCGAGUAUUUCAAUGAGAUUGACAUUGCUUUUGUGCUGUUCCAGGAGAAGGGAGAUCUUGAUCAUGAGCUGCUAUCAUCUAGUGCACAAGCUUCAAAAUCCAAUAGCAAUAAGGCAGCUCCUGGUAAAUCAAUCUCAAAUUUUUGUGUAGUCUACCAUACAGUCUCGCUGCAAAACCGUGUACAUGGGAUCAGUAAGAACUUAAAGGGCGAGAGGUGAGAAAGCAGGGUUCUUUAAGAUCAUGGCAAGUUUCUAAGAUCUUGGAGUUCCUCCCAGGUUGCUUUGCUGCUGGACUGCACGUCCUGGUGUGGAGCUGGCCCAGGAGGGGGACCCCCCUGCCAUAAAAGGCGCUCUUGAGGCUGGAAAGCCGGUGGGAGAAUUUAAUCCGUAUCUUAAGCAAGAACACUAUCUCUGUUAAAUUCUUGGUGCGAACUGACGGCUGCGUUGAUGUGGGAGUUUUGUUCGAUUAAACGUUCCUUUGCUUGCUUUGAUCCAGAUUGGUUCCAACUACCCAGACUGUUCCUGGCUACUUGCAGAGUCCGAAAGUGGGGGACUGUGCUGUGGAGAGUUUGCAAGAAACUUUGUGGCACUCAAUUAUAUGUCCAAGUUUGAUUGAUGCCACCUGGAUUUUAUUUUAUCAGAUCUUCCAUAAAAAUCAUCUGUAAAGAUGAGAAUGCUUGCAAACACCAACAAUAAUGCAAGAAGCAUGACUAAUGGCCACUAUUUGGUAGUAUAUGCUAACCAAUGGAUGGAUGAAUUUCUAUGUAAGCCAGAAUAUUUAUUUUAUGCUACUUUUCUAGACAUGUGGUUUGUUGCAACUUUUGCAUCUAAUAUUAACCCAAGAAAAGAAGUUGCACUUUUCAAGUGGAUACAGUAAAUAAAAUAUUCACAGCCGGGGUCCUUUGAAUGCAAGACUACAAAUUGUAUUUCAUGACUGCCAUAUACAUACAGAUUGCCGAGGCUUGCUCAAGCUUGUUUUUGCCACCGUGAUUUGGGGACAUGGUAAUGAUGACUUCUGCAAAGAUUUUGAUCUACAUUGAGAUGUCCAUGACACCAAAAACCCUAUAAAUACAAGACGUGCUAAGUCAUCUUUUUUCUACAAUCUUACUUGCAAGAAAGCCUGAUACUCACAAAAAGGCUCACAUGGAGCCUCCACCUGGUAAAGACCAUCAUGAGGCACUAUUACCUCCUCAUGUUGUGAGCUUGUUGCUUGGAGUGUCCUCCUGGUGGAAACUGUCACAUAACACCUCCACCUCUACUAUAUUAUGAGGAGUGUCCACCUUGCUAUCCUCCUUGCUACAUGGAGCCAUUACCUUGCUGCUAAGGAGAACUUCCAUUGGAGCCUUGUCCUUUACCUCAUGUGGAAAGCUUGAAGUGAAGACCUCAAUAUUCCACUUUCAUGUGUCAAAUUUAGAUGUCAUUAAGAGGAUCCUCCAAUUCCUCAUGUAGAGGGUCUAGUGUAGCCUUAUUGUGUGAAGCUUCAUUUGUGAGCUUCACUUGAUGAAGAGGCUCCUCCUCCAUAAGGUCGCUUGGAGCCUUUUCCACCACCAUCACUUCACAUUUGUCCUAGGACACUCCUCCUUUACUAUCUUAUUUUUAUCUAUGACAUUGUGUUUGACUACCAUCUCACAUUUGUCUAUAACUUCACACCACACAAAUGUAAAAU